AUCGUCGGAGCGGACCCGGUCGAGGGGGCCGAGAAGCCCAUCUUCCAGUUGGCCUCGGCGUCGCAGGUGAUGCUGCCGGAGAGCGAGGAAAUGGUGGCGGGACACCUGAGGGAGAUCGGUCUGACCUUCCACCUGGCGAGCAAGCUUCCGGCCAUCGUGGGCAGCAACAUCGAGCGAUGCCUGGAGGGGGCGUUCGAGCCGCUGGGCAUCACGAACUGGAACGAGCUGUUCUGGAUAGUGCACCCAGGGGGACGGGCCAUCAUCGACCAAGUGGAGGCCAGGGCGGGGCUGGCGCCGGAGAAGCUGGCGGCGACGAGGCACGUGCUCAGCGAGUACGGGAACAUGCAGAGCGCGUCGGUGCUCUUCAUCAUGGACGAGAUGAGGAAGCGAUCGGCGAUGGAGGGCCACGCCACCACCGGCCAGGGCUGCCAAUGGGGGGUGCUCUUCGGCUUUGGCCCCGGCCUCACCGUCGAGACCGUCGUCCUCCACAGCGUCCCUAUCUAGUCCGUGGGGGUUGGGAUCCCCUCCGUGAAAACUACAUUACAUCGGUGGCUUUUAACCGUUAUUCUUGUACUACACUGCACGCUGCUAAGACUCGUGGGAGGGGCGAUGUCGAUUAAAUAAGGAAUUGGAUGGAUCUCCCGUCCCGGACGACUUCAGGGCGACGGGGACUCCAUCAUACGUGGUGUGGAGCAUGAUACGAUUAAUGUUUCUUCCUCUUCUUUUUCCUGUACAAUCCAUCGUAUGCUGGUUUGCGUCAAUGGAAAACUAAGCCAAAGCCUCGUGGGUCCUUUCGGGGUAUCAAGCAAAGAGGAGAUUGAUUGCACGCACCGUAACGAGUGUCUUUACCCGAUCGAUAAGCUCGCGGAUCCAAGAGAGGGAAAAUAGAAGAAUCUCAACGACUCGAUUAUUCAUGUUUUCUGAAUCAAAAAUAAUCGUUGCCAUCGAAGUAGGCGUGUGGUUGAGAUUUAAAAGGAGUCGUCCGAUGGACGGUCAUCCUUUUCCAUAUUCCGACAUAGAUAUCAUAAAAUCUGGACCGAUCCUUUGUCGGACUAUACCAGAGUCUUUCCUCCUGUCGGAUACAAACGAAGACCAACCCGGCGCAUGAUUCCGGAACCGUCUUUUGACUCCACCACCGUCAGUGCGUAUUGAUAGGAGGGAAAUGGAAUGGCAGCUUGCUGGGUGGCCUUCUCCUCGUUUGAUCACCUUCAACCAAACCAAGUCAAUUGUCCGCGCAGCCGAACCACGAUGAAAAGGACGCUUAGCACUGCUUGCCCUACGGAACAAUCCAAAACCACAUGAGCCGGUCCCAACAUGUCAAAAUAAAGAAAACGCGAGUCUAUUUUGUUCGUUCGACCCUUGGGAUGCGAUGGUUGGAGACCGGCUUGGCAGCUUCUUUAGUUCUACAGGUUCCACUCGAAGGGUCAACGCAAAUUAAAAGACCGGCAUCCCAAUCUUCAAACCAAAUACCUGUUUGCGUAUCGCAGCAUGCUCGAUGAAUUGCUCAUGAAAACUACAUAUUUAUCAUUUAUUGCGGGCUUCGGAUGCUCUUAAUUCGGAGCGUUUUGUAUCUACGAUUGACUCGGUGGGAGAUGCAUGGAUGUCUUAGUCUUAGCUCAGCAACUAUGGCCACUGUGUUUGCCAUUCCGGGUGGGUUCGGUCAAGUGUCCGAAUCAAGUCGGUCACGCCAUCUAACACCGCGAGGGAUGAGGUAAGCUGACGAAUGGACAAAGGGAUAAACCAACGCUCGGACUGAUGCCUGAGAACCACCUGUUGCCGACACAUGGACCUACUCCUUGCGUUGGCAUCACCUCAUGCUGACAUCCGCAACGUUUUUCACUUGCUUGGGUGAGAGCACUCCUUUUCGAAACGACAUUUGUCCAACCUGUACGUCCUCGAAUGGGUGUUGGGUAGAACGCAAGCGAUUGUUAUCAACAUUAACACUCGAAUGAUCCAUGCAAUGGUGGAGAGAGACGUGGGUGGACCACAGCAUUAACCUCUUCCUCCAAACCAAGUGGCGAGGAUCGGAAGUCUAAUUUGUGGCUCGAUCGGGUUGGCGAUCGACGUCCGGUCACACACGGGAACAUACGCGGCGAGAAACGAGUCGGGAGCGGUUGGUGAGGGCCUCGUCUGAGGAUGACUUCCUGUCGCAGUAUCUCCACCACGACGCUUACGAUAUUUGCGAUGGCUCCCAACAAUUAUUCCGUGGAUGUCAGCAUUUUCUCCAAGAGCGUUGAGAGGUAAGCCGCAGCCAUCCACCGUAAACGGGAGUAGGUGGAGCAAAUGUUUGCUAGCGCCAAAGGAAGACCGAGUACAAAGAAAGCAUGGUCAUCUACAGAGGGAAGAAACAGAGGAGACACGGCCAAGUAAGCUUGCUUGAAGCCUUACAAAUUCCAUGAGAUAAGGUUACCAGAAAGGAUUAUAGCGACUGCGCACGCAUACAUUAGGAAUCCUUGGGAAAGAGGGAAGGGGUGAGGGUGGGUACAAGCGGGGGAUCGUCUUUCCCUAUAUAUAUAUAUCAUAGAUAGCCGAAGGAGGUGAGUCACUUCCAAGAUCUAGAUUUUGGAGCUUGAGCUUCGACGCAGGUAAAUAUGUCCAGCCUCCACGCCAUGCGCAAGGCACAGAGGGCUCGAGGUCCGGCCACCAUCAUGGCCAUCGGGACCGCCAACCCUCCCAAUCUCUACGAGCAGAGCACGUAUCCGGAUUACUACUUCCGCGUCACCAACUCCGAGCACAUGCAGGAGCUGAAGCACAAGUUCCGGCGCAUCUGUAAGAGACUCUGUUCUAUAUCUUUCUCUGAAAAUUCUUGCGAGUCGACCGUAGAAUCUUUCUGCGGAGAUGACCACACACACACACACGCACACGCUUGAACGCUGCGAUUCACUCUUUUUUGCCAAUCCAUUCGUUCUUCUUCGUCUUCGCUUAUUUAGCGUCCAUGUCAGACUCGCUCAGAGCAGAUAUAACGUAAUCGUCGAGGGAGGUUAACUAACUUUGCCGUUCAUGUUUCCUGCCUAUAUACGGACCAUAACGUAAUCGUCGGGUUAAACGUGAGUCUUCAACUGGCGUCUUUAUGGUACUGCCUAGGCGUGUUAGCAGUUUAAUUAUUGCAACAGAUCGAGAGGUCCACAAUUAGUCUGCAUUACGAGUCACUGAAACAUGCAUGCAUCCAAACCAGAGCAAGCAAGAAAAGAGCUACUAACUUGGCUCUGUUUUUUGCUUGCCAUGUUCGUCGGACGAAGGCGAGAAGACCAUGGUCAAAAGACGCUACCUCUAUCUCACGGAGGAGAUCCUAAAAGAACGGCCAAAACUGUGCGCCUACAUGGAGCCAUCUUUCGACGACCGGCAGGACAUCGUGGUGGAGGAGGUGCCCAAGCUGGCCAAGGAAGCCGCCGCCAAGGCCAUCAAGGAGUGGGGCCGCUCCGUGUCCGACAUCACCCACUUGGUCUUCUGUUCCAUCAGCGGCAUCGACAUGCCCGGCGCCGACUACCGCCUCGCCAAGCUCCUCGGCCUCCCCCUAUCCGUCAACCGCAUCAUGAUCUACAGCCAGGCCUGUCAUAUGGGCGCCGCCAUGCUCCGCAUCGCCAAGGACCUGGCCGAGAACAACAAGGGCGCCCGGGUGCUCGUGGUGUCCUGCGAGAUCACCGUGCUCAGCUUCCGAGGCCCGGACGAGCACGACUUCCAGGCUCUCGCAGGCCAAGCGGGGUUCGGCGACGGGGCAGCUGCGGUCAUCGUGGGCGCAGAUCCCAUCCAAGGCGUGGAAAAGCCGAUCUACGAGAUCAUGUCGGCCACGCAAGUGACGGUACCGGAGAGCGAGAAGGCCGUCGGUGGCCAUCUCAGGGAGGUAGGCCUGACCUUCUAUUUCUUCAGCCAGUUGCCGAUGAUCAUCGCCGACAACAUAGAACAUAGCCUGACCGAGGCUUUCAAGCCCCUGGGGAUCGCCAACUGGAACGACAUCUUCUGGGUGGCGCACCCGGGGAACUGGGCGAUCAUGGACGCCAUCGAGCGCAAGCUGGGGCUCCAGCCGGAGAAGCUCAGCACGGCGCGGCAUGUUUUCUCCGAGUACGGGAACAUGCAGAGCGCCACUGUGUACUUCGUGUUGGACGAGGUCAGGAAGCGAUCGGUGACGCAAGAGCGGUCCACCACCGGUGACGGACUGCGGUGGGGCGUGCUCUUUGGGUUUGGCCCCGGGCUCAGCAUCGAGACCGUCGUGCUCCGCGGUGUGCCACGCUAGGGAUUUCCAUCCCCCCGUAAUGAUGCACGUAAGUAAUCAUCAAUCUAAUCUAGUGUGCUCUCCAGAUGUGUUGUGUGAAUUGUGACGACGCUGUAAACGAAUCACGCUCUUUCCUUGCUGGGUUUGGCCAAAAAGAAGGGAUACGAUGGUGGCAUGUAUGUACAUGAGGAACCAUCCCGUGUUCAAUGAAUUGAACCCAAAAAUAUCCCUUUUGAUCGUACGGAGACAUCCUUGUCGAUCGCCAUCAUCUUGAACGAAGCCCAAAUUUCAUCGGCCGACUCGUCCUGCGUGUGACAAAUGAAAUAUCGAGCGACAAUUGAUUAGAUGUCUUUACAUAGAAUAGCUUCGAAAUUUCCGAGUAAACUGAGAGUAAUCUGUAGCUCAGCUUCUGCUGGUGCACGCAUUUUUUUUGCUUUUCGUAGUUAGUUAUGAGCAAAGCCAAGUGGAUGACAUGAGUUUGGGGAAAGCCAUGCGGUAAAAUGAUACCUGAUUAGACUACAUGGAGUCUAGUCGCUGAGCAAUUCAAAGAUCCCCGGUAGUUACAUCUCCAUAAGGAAAUUUCAUAUGGGCAAUUGCACCUGAUGUGGGGGUGGGUGUUCAGAAUUGAUUGGCCAAACACAAAGGCAACUUUUAAGUGGGUGGGUUCUUUCCUUAAGUGACAAGUAAAAGACAACGGGAAAAAAAGAGGCCACGCGGCUCAUGUACUUACUCUCUCUCUCUUUCUCUCAGGAGAGCUGCCAUGUGGGACCCGCACUUCAGCUCCGACGCACGGGAAAUGAAGUGCCACGUUAUUUACAACGGAAAAACUAUCGCUCGAUAAUUUAUUAUGGUAACAGAUAUAUAUAUUAUUUCUUUUGAGAAGCAUCAAAUUCUCUUUGAAUGUGCAUGCUAACGCUAUUUGAAGUGGGAUACAAGAUGGAACACCGGAAGAGGCGUGAGUACAGCAGAGACGCAAAGAUGCUUGAAAGGAACAACGAGGACGGAGUCUGAAUCUGAAACUUAAUGGACGCACCUCGAAUAUAUAUAUAUAUAUAUAUAUAUAUAUAUAUAUCCACCGUUCGAGAAGCUGGAACCAUGAAUUAAACAGGUAAGUACUGGACCUAUAAUGCCCUGUGUGGAUUUUUGUUGGAAACCCGGCAAAGAACCAUAAAAUUACACCUCGUCGUCCUGGGAUCAGGUGAUCGUCCGGGCCUGGGAUGAGGGAUUCUGGAUUUCUCUGGUAAUGCUAACUUAAACCGAAACACAGCAUAUUUCCACUAUGAGACCAUAGAGAUCUCUAGUAUUACACCAAUUAAACCGGAAGAUCUACAUACAUACUAUUAGCUAUACAUCAAGACGUUUCUACGUGCUUGAGAUCUUGGCGCCUGCCUCGUCGUGGUGAUGGCCGUUCAAUUAUCGUAGUCCAUGAUUCGAAAGUGGACUCAGGAAAUAAAAUAUGGCUUCUUCAAUAUGAGGGGCGGGCAGAGCCAAUCGCACUGGUUUCUUUGAAGACCAUCACAGAUCAGAGAAGAAAAACCUGGCCAUGUAACUUUCCAUCUUUAAAAAAACAUGUAGAACUAAUCAAAGGCCUAAGACAUUUCUAUAGCUGUUUCCGUGCACCAAACAGGGGAGAGAGGUUGGUGAAGACCACUUGUGUAUGUAUAUAAUAAUAUAAUGUUUUCUGCAAAGGUUGGUGAAGACCUUGUGGAUGAUAAUGAUGGUUGCGUGGACUGAUCGUACUCAGGAAGCGAUUGAGUCGGGAAAUGGAGGCCAGCUCGUGACGGCGUAUCGGAAGCCGCAGAUGUGCGUGAGUUGCAUGGGCGGUAGGUGUGCGUGCUCAUCUCCGAUUUCAAAGCAACCGGUGGUGAAGUCAUAUCUCGACCAAUUGGGUAUUAGUGACUGACUCGUUGGUUCUACGUUCCACCAAGUGCCCACACAUCGCCAUCGUCGCUUCUCUCUCUCUCUCUCUCUCUCUCUCUCUCUCGGGUUUAAGCGCACGCUUAAGCAAGCCUUCUUUAUCCGCUACCAUAGUCUGUCUUCAUUUUUUUUUCUUUGUGCGACCAAACGAAUAUAUAUUAUCAAUCAAUAAUUGAUAUAUCUGAUGACAACGUUUCAGGGUGACGGAAUGGCUGACCGAAUCAAUUGCCAUCGUCAUCUACGUGAGGAACCAGUCUAUAAGUUUGACUAAAGCAACAAUGAAGGUAGGUCUGUUUGCACUUAGACAUUCUUUUUAUAGAAUUAUUAUUAUUAUUAUUAUUAUUAUUAUUAUUAUUAUUAUUAUUAUUAUUAUUAUUAUUAUUAUUAUUGAUGAGGGUAAUAAUUAGGGUAAGACUCGCAUGACAUCCGCUAGCCCAAAUGACGCCCCACGGGCCGACAGCACCUGGUCAACACGGACCAGAACACCUACCAAGGCACAUUAACACUCCCCUCCGGCUCAACCCCUCACGCCAUGCCAACGGCGAUGUCAGACGCCACUAGGAGUACGAUCAUGCUCCAUGUGGGCAGGCACACCAGGUAACGGUAAUUCUUACUAUAAAAACCCUCGCGCCGACAGCACCUGAUCAACACAGACCAAGAACACCUACCAAGGCACAUUAACACUCCCCUCGGCUCGAUCCCUCACGCCACGCCAACAGCGAUGUCAGACGCUAUCAGGAGUACAAUUCUACUCCCUGUGGGCAGGCACACCAGGUAACGGUAAUUCUCACUAUAAAAACCCUCGCGCCCCAAAAGAGGGGAGAGAGGAACAAAAGAAAACCCCUACUACUCUUCACUAAUUGGAUUAUCGGAGGGGUCGGGUCGAGUCUCCCGACCCGACCUAUGUGCAGGGACAAAGACGGGGUGCCUCCCAUCGCGUGCCCAGGCAAGGAGUCCCCUCCCAGAGGGAAUGACCGACCCGCCCCGAUCCAACCACCGCGGUCGGCCACCUCAGCAGUCUCAAAGGUCGUUGAGGAAGAUCCCCAAUCAUUCAGACCCGAACCCAGUCACGUCGACCUCGAGACCACGACUUAAGGUUGUUUACACUAACAAUUAUUAUUAUUAUUAUUUCCCUCCUAAGUUGUUUUAUUAGUAAUUCUCGACGAGAUUAUAAUAACGAUGCCUCAUCACUUUGUAGUUUGGUUCCAGUGGUUGGGAAAAACGAUUCAUAUAGGUUCCAGCGGAGUGGAUGGAUGUUAACGAAAGUGGUGUACAAUAAUAUUAUUUCAAUAGAUAUUUAUAUAUUGAUAUAAAAAAUAUUGUUGACAUCUUGAUAUGGUUUGGACCCAAAUACAUAGGAUUAUUCGAGAUGUCUCAGAAUGUUAAACUGUUGAUAUGUUAUUUUUACGAAGAUCAAAGUUAAUUGAAAGCAUCCAAUAUUUUUCUUUUACUUAUUGUUUGUUUCUAUGUCACUACAUCCAUAUUUAUUUGACAUUAAAAAAAUAUUUCUUAUAUUUUACGAUAAGUUGACCUGUCAAGUUAGCUAUUUUUAAGAUUAUUAAAAUAGGUUCUGAUUGAAUUUGAGUCGAACCAAUCCAAAGCCGUAAAACUUUUUUAUUUAAUUCGAUCGAUCAUUCUAAAAAAUCUGCACCUCUAAUUAAUGCACAAUCCAUCUAUCGUUUCACGAGCACAAAGACAACUGAAAUCAUACAAUAAUUGAUAUCUCGACAGGAAUCCAAAUAUGUCGAAUCACUUAUAUCAAUGAUAGAUUUAUUGGUAGAUCAACGAAGAUUAUCACAGUAAGAAAGAUGAGAAUUAAUCGUGGAGUCUACAGUGGCAUUGGUCUGGCCGAAGACAAAGGCGAAACUUUAUUUUUCUCGGGGACGUUGAUCGCUGGCCAAGAGAAAAAGGCUUAGAGAAAUCUAACAGCAAGUUCAUAAUUAUAAUUCGUCAUCCAUGAGUACGCGCGUUUCUGUUCAUGCUUUGAGGUCUUGCCGAUGCUGGUGGUAGUGGCGGUGGCCGCCGAAGGUCGCACCGAAGCAACCCAAGAGUCGGGAGUUUGAAUACUCGAUCGGAAUCGACCAAGUAUGCUUCCUGCAAAUAUUAGCAAGCGGAUAUAUCCGUGCUGAGAUCUCAGUCGUUAAUAGCUUGUUUGUUUUUCCUCAUCACAUCCGAACAACUCGGUGGAAUACUCUGCGUAUGUCAACAGGCUAUUCGAAGGGUCUUGUUGUUUGUCACCGGGGAUGAAAAUGACGACGGCGGUACAAGGAUUGGCUUGGUUUUGAGAGGCGGAGCCGAAUGAGUGCCAGUCCAUUACCGUGAACAGGAAAACCCUGGCCAUGUCUCUUAACGCUAAGAAAUCAUAUACGUAGAGCCAAUUCGAGGCCUACGAAGCCAUAGAUGUCUAAUACUGUUUGCUGGAUGCAAAACGAGGCGAGAGGGGGUUGGUGGGAUGCAGUGGGUAGGUGAAGACCACUUGUAAAUAAUCAAGUAUUUUAUUUUCUUUCUUUCUGAAGAGGUUGGUGAGAAUACCUAAACCAAUAUAGUAUGGACUCACCCCGCAGUUGAAUGCAAUGGGUUGACUCGGGAAGAAGGGCGAAGUUGGUGGAGAAGCUCCGGAUGACGACGACGUACAUAUAUCCAAGCAAUGUGUCAUCCAUCCAUCUAUUAAUGUUCAAUAGCCCCGCCACUUUGGUGCUACCGAUUCGUUCAACGUUCAAAGUAAAUGCCUACUCGAUCAACGGAAGUUGGCACGCCUAACCGUGAUGGAAACAGAGGAUACUGUAACACUGACACCCGAAACACCCUAUAUAAAGCAUAUGACGAAGGAGAAACUCCCCGCUCAUCAUCCCACUGUUUUAUCCCGCAUCACUCAUCCGACGUUUUCGCUGCAACUAUGGCUGGUAUCAGUACCUUCCGAAAGGCUCAAAGACCUCAAGGUCCAGCCACCAUCAUGGCCAUCGGGACGGCCAAUCCCCCCAACCUCUACGAGCAGAGUACUUUCCCGGACUUCUACUUCCGGGUCACCAACUCCGACCACAUGCCAGAACUCAAGGACAAGUUCCGCCGCAUCUGUAAGUUUAUAUCUGUGCGAUACGAUUCUUCGUCGAAACAUUCCUUUCCUAAUCGGAAAAAGAAAAAGGCUAACAUGCGCUGUCGAUCGCUCUGUACGUGAAGGUGGCAAGACCAUGAUCAAAAAGCGGUACAUGCACCUCACGGAGGAGGUCCUCAAGCAGAAACCUGGAAUGUGCUCCUACAUGGACCCCUCCUUCGACGAGCGCCAGGAAAUCGUGGUGGAGGAGGUGCCGAGACUCGCCAAGGAAGCCGCCGCCAAGGCCAUCAAAGAGUGGGGCCGCGACAAGUCCGGCAUCACCCACUUGGUCUUCUGCUCCACCAGCGGCAUCGACAUGCCCGGCGCCGACUACCGCCUGGUCAAGCUCCUGGACCUCCCCCUAUCCGUCAACCGCAUCAUGCUCUACAACCAGGCCUGCCACAUCGGUGCCCAGAUGCUCCGCAUCGCCAAGGACAUCGCCGAGAACCACAAGGACGCCCGUGUGCUCGUGGUGGCCUGCGAGCUCAACACGCUCAUCUUCCGAGGCCCAGACGAGCGCGACUUCCUGAGCCUCGCAGGCCAAGCCGCAUUUGCGGAUGGAGCAGCAGCGGUCAUCGUCGGCGCGGAUCCAAUCCAAGGCGUCGAGAAGACCAUCUUCGAGAUGAUGUCUGCGGAACAAGUGACCGUACCCGACUGCGAAAAAGCCGUCGGAGGCCACCUCAAGGAGAUCGGUCUCACCUUCCAUUUCAUGAACCAGCUUCCCAUGCUCAUCUCCAACAACUUGGAGAACUGCCUCCUGGAGGCGUUCAAGCCAUUAGGCAUCACCGACUGGAACGAGGUCUUCUGGGUGUCACACCCGGGAAACUGGGGAAUCAUGGACGCCAUCGAGAAGAAGGUGGGGCUCAAGCAGGAGAAGCUCCGCUCGUCGAGGCAUGUGUUCGGUGAGUACGGGAACAUGAUGAGCGCCACGGUUCUCUUCGUGAUGGACGAUGUGAGGAAGCGGUCGGCGGCGGAGGGGCGGGCGACAACCGGCGAUGGGUUGGAGUGGGGAGUGCUCUGCGGCUUUGGACCGGGCCUCACCAUCGAGACCGUGGUGCUUCGCAGUGUGCCUCUUUAGAUUUCCCAGCAGAAACAGGACUUUUUAUGUACUGUAAAUAAAAAAAAAGGACCUCAAUUACGCUAAAAUGUGUGUGUUCUUAAAAUAAAAAUUAUAGCUCGUAAGUCGCUAGUUUUUUCUUUCGAUUUUUUUGUUAGUAUGUUCAUCGGGUUGCUCAUUACAAAUAAACCUCCACCAUCUAUCACACUACUGUAAUCGUUUUGAUCCAUGAUAUAUGAGUAAACUUGACCAGUUAUAUAUAUAUAUAUAUAUAUAUAUAUAUAUAUAUAUAUAUAAUUGUAAAUCUGUAUUGCUGAUUAUUAAUUAAUAUUUUUCACUAUAUUUAUCUUCCUGUAUUUACCAUCGGCAUGCUCCGUGAUAAAGGUUAUAAAAACGGGUCAAAGUCCUCCGACUACUAAACUAAACUGUGGCCUCUUAAUUAACAUUUUUAAUCUUUCAAAAACAAAUGAUCGUAUUACAAUUAUCGAUCUAUCUAUAUAGGCCUAAAAUAUAAGAAAAAUAUUAAUUAAUAAGAAAGAAAAUAAAAUAAAAUCAUGUCAACAUAUUAUUCUAUCCGAUCAUCUAAUGUUUUAGAAUUGUCCCAUCAAUUAGUUUUUCUUUUUUUGGGUAUAUGAUGGUCUUUCAUUAAGAUACAUUGUUGGUUCUUUAUUCUCUUUUCUUAUUUUUUUAUUAUUCAUUAUUAUCGAUCUAAGAAAUAAAAUCAUAUAUUAUAUAUCAGUUGAAUCCAUUCAUCAUCAACCCAAAACACUUUGGAUUGAUUCUUUUUCUUUAGAUGUCUAUAAAAUAUGAUUUGAUUUUCAUCAUAUAUAUAUAUAUAUAUUAAUGAGAAAAUAAAUAUAGUUAUCUAGUUAUUAACCACUCAAUAGAUGAUUUCUCUUGAUCGAUAAUACACUAAUGAUCAAUUAUCAUCCAACACAUAAUCAUCACAUUGAAGCUAUCAUUUAAGAAAAAUAUCUAAGUCACUUUUUAUUUGUCUGACCGCAUGAACCAAAGUCUAAGAUAGAUCGUUUGAGGUUCUCCUGCAUGUGAAUAAAAUGUCAAAAAGAAAAUAUUGGGAUAAGUAUAAAUUGUUUUAUCUGAGUUUAUAUAUAAAAGCUAAUCUCGAUAGUACAUCGAGAGCUCACUCUUUAAGAAAAACUUAUAUCUACCGAGCGAUCUCGAUCACUAACUUGAGUAUUGAAGAGAUCAGAUUGAGAAAUUUUCUUUGACAUUAAUCUUAGUAUAGAUAACAUUUCGAGAUCUCAACAUGAUUAUCUCAGAGCUACUUUAGAGCCACCUUAGUCACCAUCUCGAAUACGUCUACGUCCUUGAGUUUGGACUACGUUGAGUUAACUCAGACAUCAAUGAUGUUUCCCGUAACACCUCACUUGGUGAAAACGCUAGAGUUUAGCAACUUGUUAUAGACUUUUAUGAUAUUUUUUCUACCGUUUUAGCUAAUAUUUACGUGUCUAUGUAUCUAUCGAUAUAUUCGAUGGAGAUGUGGUGAAUCUAACUGUUCCUGGCUGUAAGAUGAGUACAGAGUACGUACUACUGUACAAUUCUUUUCUAUACGAGAAGAGGCCAAUCCUGGACGCGGAUCAUUGAUCAACCCAGGAAGCAUCCUCCUUUAUUCGCAUUGCUUUCCCACCAACUUUUUGUUUCUUUUACUUGGAACAUCUUGCUUUACUUUAUUCACAUUGCUUUCGUACUUUUUGUUUCUUUUCUUUCCAACAUUUUACUUCUUUUUUUUAAUUUAAUAUUUCCCUUUGCACUUAUCACAGGGCACUAACAAAUAACAGAUGGCCUGUUUGCACAUCGACUCCGGUGGAAACCACCGAGACUUCGGCGGUCCCAUCGGACACGCGUUGUUAGAGGAUCAAAAAGGAAUGAGAGCCAGAGGUCAGGCAUCUCCAAUCGGACAUCCCAACCAUGGAGUCCACAGCAAGAGCAUUUGGUCUGAUCUGGAAUCAGCAGACCCAAUCAAACGCGGGUUCCAGUUACAGCUCUUCACGAACGUCACCCAGCACGUACAAACCCUUUUUAUCUUCUCGAGAAGUCAAUAGUUCACGCAGGAAAUAGUUUGUCGAGUAAUCUUUUUCCAGGAUGCAUGCCGAACACGUCCAUUAGUUGACGUCAGGCAAGCAGUGACUAAAAAUUCCAUAGUUUUGGAAUCUGUAAGCAGGCCGGGAAUUGGAUGCCGAGGAGCUUCCCACAGAUUAUGCUUCUGGUCGUUUGGAUGGUGACGCAUCAUCGGCAAUGAGAUAGUGCAGUCGACAAAACUACACCACCGUUCAGCACCAGAGGGAGGGGAAGGUUGACGAUUUCCAUAACUUGAAAAUGUCAACAAAAGUUAGUCAAUUGUCAUGUGCUCCAUUCAACGUUUUGUCGGUCAACACUAAGACUUGGCUCCACCAACCCACUACAAUGAUUUGAAUCCAUGUUGCAUGAGAAGCUGCGCGACCAAACGCCGGGGCUUCCAUAUAAGAGGGUGGAGGAGGGGAGCCACUCCACACCCUGCAAGUUGCUAACUUUCACUUGUUGUUACCGCUGGUUCUCGUCCAAGUCCUAGAAUUGCGAAGAUGGUUAGCAUCGAUGCCUUCCGGAAGGCCCAAAGACCUCAAGGUCCGGCCACCAUCAUGGCCAUCGGGACGGCCAAUCCCCCCAACCUCUACGAGCAGAGCACUUUCCCGGACUUCUACUUCCGGGUCACCAACUCCGACCACAUGCCGGAACUCAAGGAAAAGUUCCGCCGCAUCUGUAAGUUUACAUCCGUGUGUGUGCUCGCGCUGCGAUUCUUCGUCUAAACAGUACUUGAGAAAAGCUAAUUCGCUCUGUUGCUCGCGCUGUUCACGAAGGUGGGAAGACCAUGAUCAAGAAGCGGUACAUGCACCUCACGGAGGAGGUCCUCAAGCAGAAACCCGGAAUGUGCUCUUACAUGGACCCCUCAUUCGACGAGCGCCAGGAAAUCGUCGUGGAGGAGGUGCCGAGGCUCGCCAAGGAAGCCGCCGCCAAGGCCAUCGAAGAGUGGGGCCGCGACAAGUCAGGCAUCACCCACUUGGUCUUCUGCUCCACCAGCGGCAUCGACAUGCCCGGCGCCGACUACCGCCUCGUCAAGCUCCUCGGCCUCCCCCUAUCCGUCAACCGCAUCAUGCUCUACAGCCAGGCCUGCCACAUCGGCGCCCAGAUACUCCGCAUCGCCAAGGAUAUCGCCGAGAACAACAAGGACGCCCGUGUGCUCGUGGUGGCCUGCGAGCUCAACACGCUCAUCUUCCGAGGCCCAGACGAGCGCGACUUCCUGAGCCUCGCAGGCCAAGCCGCAUUUGCGGAUGGAGCAGCAGCGGUCAUCGUCGGCGCGGAUCCAAUCCAAGGCGUCGAGAAGCCCAUCUUCGAGAUGAUGUCUGCGGCACAGGUGACGGUACCGGACUGCGAAAGGGCCGUCGGAGGCCAUCUCAAGGAGAUCGGUCUCACCUUCCAUUUCAUGAACCAGCUUCCCAUGCUCAUCUCCAACAACUUGGAGAACUGCCUCCUGGAGGCGUUCAAGCCAUUAGGCAUCACCGACUGGAACGAGGUCUUCUGGGUCUCCCACCCGGGGAACUGGGGAAUCAUGGACGCCAUCGAGAAGAAGGUGGGGCUCAAGCAGGAGAAGCUCCGGUCGUCGAGGCACGUGUUCGGUGAGUACGGGAACAUGAUGAGCGCCACGGUUCUCUUCGUGAUGGACGAUGUGAGGAGGCGGUCGGCGGCGGAGGGGCGGGCGACAACCGGCGAUGGGUUGGAGUGGGGAGUGCUCUUCGGCUUUGGACCGGGCCUCACCAUCGAGACCGUGGUGCUUCGCAGUGUGGCUAUCUAGAUUUCGCAGCAGAAACAGGAAUCCGGUGGACUUGUUCGUACCAUAUUAAGUGAAUUAUUUCCGUUUUAAUUCUUGCGGUGGAACUCCAUUUGGCUUCUAAGCUUAAAUAAAAAGCUGCACAGAGUUAACGUACAAAUUCUUGUUUGAUUAUUAUGUUCGUCUCGUUGCUCAACACCAAUGAACAUGUGGUUUUCAAUCUAAGAUGAUGAUUAUGAUAGAAUGAAGAAUGAAGUCGUAAAGUUUAAAAAGCAUGCAUCGAUUAAUUUGAUAUGAUAUCUAUUUAUACAUGUUGAAAGAGAGUAUUUUGCUUAAAAAUAUAAGAUUUUCUCAUGCAGUUGGAGAAAUCUUAUAUACUGUGCAGUUGAAGAAAUCUCUCUACUAUCAUAUUAAGCGUAUGAAUAAUUCGAACCUCACUCACUCUAAUUCUUUGAAGUUUAGUAUUGCUCACCUAUUAAUUGACAAUUUUAUUGCAUCCUACCUUUUCUACGAAUAUUUCCCUUGCGUACUUCUACAACUCAAUUUCUAGACUUAAACGAUGAUCUCUGCUAUAAACAUUUAGCAUCGGCAAAUGAAUAUACCAUUCGAUAUGUCAAUCCCUUAUCGUGGAAUGAACUGAACUCAGAACAUUGUCUAUCCCUUCGGAUGCUUGCUGACCUUUUCUCCGUGAGAGCAUACGGUUUGGCAUCUUCCUCUAUCAAAUCAUCUAACGAAGGCCGUGAGGUUCCUGCUCAUCUUCGCAGAGAGGUGACCGAAUUGGUCGCCGCAUCGCUUUCCCGAUGUCGCGGUUGGCCAGGGGAAGGUGAUGCACAUUUUCACUGCUCCAAGCUGGAAGGUUACGGUCCUCAUCGGGUGCCGUCGAAGCAUAAUUAAGAGAAGGAUACCCGAGAGAUGUUGAUGACUUCUUGUCAUCGGUGCAUAGCUUAUAAUUCUUCUUCAGUCUCGUGUUGUUGUCCUCUGCAACUUUUGUUGACCAUUCGUUUCUAGUCUUGAAGGUGGGAGCCGUCCUCGGUAGUUGGACGGGGCCGGCAUUGAGUUGAAAUUUCGACGAGCAUAUAUGAGCGACAUUUGUCAGUUGCAAUGAAAUUAUGCGCAUUGACUAUUUACGAGUCCCUCCGACCGACCGACCGUCGAUGCAAUUGCAAUGGAGCUGCACGCGGAAGACGGAUUAGGGUGCGGUCUUUCUAAAAGAGUCACGAAAAUAAUAACAAUGAUUGGGAUACUAGUAAAUUUCAUUCAGUUUUAACUGUCAAGUAUUUGAAUCUAUCCUAAAUUUAUUUCAUAUGAUAUCAUUUUUUAUUUAUAUUUGAUAAGAAAUAUAAAAUCAUCAGCUCAUCAUUCGUCACACCAAUAACAUGUCAGGUUAACACUCUUCAGUCCACCAAGAUAAAAGUCCAGAAGUUAACUUAGGUAAGUUAUUGAGUUAUUGAGAUCCUCAGGAGGUGUAAAAUAUUCAUAGGAAUAUUUUCGAUCGAUUAUGAAUUGGCUCUUUAGCGAAAUAUUCAUAUGAAUAUUUUUGAAAUAUUAGAAUGUAGUUUGAGUCAGUUACGAAUCGACUCUUCGACGAAAUAUUUAUAAGAAUAUUUUUGAAAACUUAAAAGGUAGUUCGAAUCAAUGAACUACCUUCCUAUAAUAUUCUUUCUCAUUAAGAUUAAUAUAAAAAUUUUUAAUUUUAUAUUAGAGAGGAGAAAUAGAAAAAGGUGAAACUCGGCUACUAACUUAAAGUAUCAAAACAAUCAACUUGGGUAACUCUCUGACCUCGAUCUUUGUACAAGAAAUGAGUCUAGAGAAAUCGAGCUCUACCUUGGUCGAUUCCUCGUAUAUGGAUUGGAGUCGUAUUGAUAUGAAUAUCAAUAAUAUUUUUCUUUUAUAAUAUUCUUUUCCAAUAAAUACCCUAGCAGAAGGGAAAACACAAAAACCCAAAUUUUGUUAGUAUUAUAAGAAUCACAAUGGAUGCCGAUGAGCUUUUCAUAUUCCAAAACGAAACCCGAUCUUCGUAUAUCUUUUUCUCCUAUUCAAUAAUAUUAACUCAACGUCGUUCUUAUUAAAAAAACACCCACGAAGUGCUCAAUAUCGAAUUAGUUUCAUCUUAUUAGACAUCGACUCGAAAGACAAUUGUACAGAAACUCCUCGACGACUAGUCCGCUACGCACCGCAGGCGAGUUCACAGCUGUAGACAACCCCACGCAGAUUUCAGUGAUCCAUUCGACGUCGAAGUAAGAAGCAUGGUGUUGAAGACGAAGUCCGUUUGCUCCAUCUAUUUGGUGAAUGCACGCAUCGCGAAGUCGAUAGGCCUUUCUCGCCUACUGACAAGGCAGUGCAUGCGUACGUCCAACGUAAGUAUAAUAUGUAUAUAUGUAUAUGUAUAUGAUCAAUAAUUAAAUGAAGGUUACGUAAAUCGUUUGGGAAUGCGUGCAAGCUGAUCUUGCCAAAAGCGGACAAGAUGAUGCAACAUGAGCACCUAUUCAAGGAACCAUCGGUAUUUCUGCCCAGCGGUUGGCGUGGGUCGGCCAUGUCCAUCACAUGUGCUAUAGAAGUUGCUAGGCAAGUCAAUGCCUACCCAGUCAACCACGCCCUACCGCGUCGUUCAUGUGACAUGGAAACGGGUAAGCGUACAUCAUCACAUACGUCCUUUCUUUCAUGCAUGGAUCAAAAACUGAGGGCAAACAAGAUCUUGAACAAUUCAUUCAUGCAUCCAACCAUUAAAUUCCUCCGUUAAGUGGGUGGGAAGAGACCGAGCGAUGGACUCGGAGCAGCAUCGAUCGAGUCAGCAAGCAUAGUCUUACUUUGUUUACAUUGCUUUCCUAUCUUUUAACUUUCUAUUUUGCUUUAGUCAAAUUGCUUUCCCACCUUUCUGUUUCCUCGCUUUCCGCUGGCAUCAGCGGUAAACCACAUGGAUGAUAUACGAGCCACGCGUCGUCCGUGUUCGAUUUGGACAUUGCAAUACACGGUUGUUUGUGAUUGGCUGCAGCUUUUACUUACCCAAAAUGAUACAGACUAGAACGAAAUCGCUCGGUCUCAUCUGGCGUAAUCAAACAUGGAGUCGAGUUCCUCCACCGUUCACAAACAUCGUCGAGCAAUCUUAAAAGCCUUUGGUCUCUCUCCGUUCUCAAAGAGCCAUUAGUCAUAGUCUCGGAACACUUGCUUUCAAUAGGAUGUUGUUUGACUAAUCAUCCAUAGUGGCGAAAUGUUGAAGAAAGUGGGGUUGGUGAAGAAACUGCCGCAGACUGUGUUGAUCAAGUUUUGGAUUGGUCAGAAUCAGCAAUAACCACGGUUGGUGGGUAGGCGAAUUCGAAACUCCCUCAGUCAAAUUAACUCUAAGCACGUGGGGAACCACCUACGGUCAACGUUUUCAUCGGUCAGCAGGAAGACUUGGCUCCACCAACCACCCUUUGCAUGAGAAGCUGCAAGGCAAAAACACACCAAGGGUAGCUGGCUGCUGAGGGCCUUCGUAUAAAUGGGCGGAGGAGAAGACCCACUCCUCCCAUCCUGCACUCUCUAACUUCACUGCUGCUUUGAUCCAUUCCUUCCUCGCUUGAUCUCCUUCUGGUGCUCGCUGCUCCUUCUCCUCCCAGAAUUGUGAAGAUGGCCAGCGUCCAUCCAUUCCGCAAGGCCCAAAGAGCACGAGGUCCGGCCACCAUCAUGGCCAUCGGGACGGCCAAUCCUCCCAACCUCUACGAGCAGAGCACUUUCCCCGACUUCUACUUUCGGGUCACCAACUCCGACCACAUGCCGGAACUCAAGGAAAAGUUCCGCCGCAUCUGUAAGUAUACAUCUGUGUCUGCUGCGAUUCUCCGUCUAAAAAAGAGAGAAAAAGCUAACUUGCUCGCUCUGUGCGUGAAGGUGGGAAGACCAUGAUCAAGAAGCGGUACAUGCACCUCACGGAGGAGGUCCUCAAGGAUAAACCAGGGAUGUGCUCCUACAUGGACCCGUCUCUGGACGAGCGACAGGACAUCGUGGUGGAGGAGGUGCCGAGGCUCGCCAAGGAAGCCGCCGCCAAGGCCAUCGAAGAGUGGGGCCGCGACAAGUCCGACGUCACCCACUUGGUCUUCUGCUCCACCAGCGGCGUCGACAUGCCCGGCGCCGACUACCGCCUGGUCAAGCUCCUCGGCCUCCCCCUAUCGGUCAACCGCAUCAUGCUCUACAGCCAGGCCUGCCACAUCGGCGCCCAGAUGCUCCGCAUCGCCAAGGACAUCGCCGAGAACAACAAGGACGCCCGUGUGCUCGUGGUGGCCUGCGAGCUCAACACGCUCAUCUUCCGAGGCCCAGACGAGCGCGACUUCCUGAGCCUCGCAGGCCAAGCCGCAUUUGCGGAUGGAGCAGCAGCGGUCAUCGUCGGCGCGGAUCCAAUCCAAGGCGUCGAGAAGCCCAUCUUCGAGAUGAUGUCUGCUUCACAGGUGACGGUACCGGACUGCGAAAGGGCGGUCGGAGGCCAUCUCAAGGAGAUCGGUCUCACCUUCCAUUUCAUGAACCAGCUCCCCAUGCUCAUCGCCAACAACUUGGAGAACUGCCUCCUGGAGGCGUUCAAGCCAUUAGGCAUCACCGACUGGAACGAGGUCUUCUGGGUCUCUCACCCGGGGAACUGGGGAAUCAUGGACGCCAUCGAGAGGAAGGUGGGACUCAAGCAGGAGAAGCUCCGCUCGUCGAGGCACGUGUUCGGUGAGUACGGGAACAUGAUGAGCGCCACGGUUCUCUUCGUGAUGGACGAUGUGAGGAAGCGGUCGGCGGCGGAGGGGCGGGCGACAACCGGCGAUGGGUUGGAGUGGGGAGUGCUCUUCGGCUUUGGACCGGGCCUCAGCAUCGAGACCGUGGUGCUUCGCAGCGUCGCCCUCUAAUAGGGUUUCUCACCUCCAAAAUUAUGAAAUUUUUUUUUCUUUCUUUUCGCAUUCUUUCCUAUUUGAAUUUGUAAGAGAAUAAUGUAAACUACAUAACGUUGUCGAUGCAUAUACCCUUUUUCUUUUCUUUUUUUGUAUUUCUGAUUUUUAACAGUGUUUGACUGAUAUAAGAAAAAAUAUCAACCCAACAAACAACAUCGUUUUCUUUGUUUUAACCGCACAAUAAUUGACGCCUGCCAAUUAAUGCCAGAAGAACCUAUAAGAAAAUAAAUAAGAUGACUGACGAUUAGUAGUAUUUCGGGCAUGCGGUGUAAGAAUGCAGUAGUAAAAUAAUAAUAAUAAUAAUAAUAAUAAUAAUAAUAAUAAUAAUAAUAAUAAUAAUAUUAUUAUUAUGAAUAGUUAAUCCCGCAUUGCCGUAUGGGAUCUGAUUUGAAGUGGGUGGACAUCGAGUUGUGCCAUCGUGGAAUAUUCACCUCAUGUGGAUUAUCUGAAAAGUUUUGCAGCCAGCAGGGCAUCGCACCACACAUGGGAGUCUAGAUUUGACCCUCCGGUUGCCUCCUGCAAACGUAUUAGGAAACCCACUCAACCCAAGCUACGAUCCUAUCUGAAUUAUGAGAUUUCAGGGAUUCCAUAAAACGUAAUAAAGAAAGACAAGACCAAACUAGCUACGAUCCUGUCUGAAUUAUGAGAUUUCAAGGAUUCCAUUAAACGUAAUAAAGAAAGACGACCAAUCUAGCUACGAUCCUAUCUGAAUUAUGAGAUUUCAAGGAUUCCAUGAACCACAAUAAAGAAGGACCAAACUAGCUGCGAUCCUAUCUGACUCGUGAGAUUUCAGGGAUUCUAUAAAACACAAUAAGGAAAGACCAAAGUAGCACAAACUAGCAUGAUGAGGCUUGUCCGCAACAGCUUCAGAUUUCAACGGGAAUGUGUAUCUUACAAUCACCACAAUAAUAUACAACAUUACGAAACAUUUGGACGUAUACAACAACAAUAAUAUACUUCAGCUGUCUACGGCUACGGCUCAUCCCUGAGCCAGUGUUGAAUCAUGUAGACAACGAAAGCCCCACACAACAUCACUGACCCCAGAACAACCAAAAUCUGGACCCACAACAAUGAAAUAAAGGCUUCUAAUACAAAAGAAUGCCACAGCCAAUACCAUGCAACACCACAACAGGACCCCAGUAGAGCACCUACAAGGACUUGACUGUAAGUGUGGAGCUGCUGUGAUACCCGAAGCCAUGACUGCAUCAACAAAAAAGAUAGAAAGGGAACACAACUCAGUCAUGAAGUCAUAUUUCAUUAGACAGAGAAAGCAAUACAAGAGAACAAAAAAAAGGUUAGGUUAUGUGUGUUAUCCAAUGAAUCUGCAGAGAUGGACCUUGAUGUAUAAAAACAUGGGACAAAUAUAGCUAAGAGAUUCAAGAGAACAGAGACAUGGAUGCAUGUAUCAAAUAGCUCUUACACCAUAUACAUCUUCAAUCAGUUUCUAACAGAACAUUCGUACAAGUUUAAAUGCACUUGGAGAUCACCAAACUCUUUCAAAUCAAAUUUCUGUAUGUGCUUGGUGAGCUGUCAGAUCGAUGAUGCAUAACUGUCUAGUUGUCUAUUUUGAGGUGAGGACAGGAUCGUUUCCAUCUCCCCUGUCUUCUAAGGUUCUUACACAGCUUUCCUAUCUACUUCAAUCUUAAAGAUUAAUUUCUAAUUCUUAGCAGACUACUCAAGCAAAACACAUCGUCGGACUCAUAUAUGAUAUCUACUUCAAUUUGUGCUGAUACUCUUUUCGCAAAUUUAUUGGUAGAUACUAGUCGAUAUCAGUUAAUCUAAAUACAACAUUUAAAUAAGCUAAAAUCGUACUAUUAUAAAACUUAUAGAUUAAAAUAUGUAGAUUCUUAAAGAGCAUAAGACUGAAUUAAGUGAUCUAUCAAAAUGAACUACCCUGAUUGGAAGUUACGGAACUUAUUAUGGAACAUAAUUUAAAAUGAAAGUUAAUACAACAUGCAUGCCUUAUGAGCUAUUCUAAUAGUAGAAGUUUCUGUCUGCAUCUUAGAUUAAUGGUUUGAAGUUAUGCAUGGGUUUCUAAUGAGGGAAAGGUUGUUAGCAAAGAGAAUAGUGGGAGCCUAUAAAUAGGGCUCCCAAUUCAGAGGAUGAAGGGGGCACGUGUCCCCUUGGAUCCCUUCACUCAGCAAGUGAUAUUUGCAGCUACAAUUGAGAAUACAUGGCAAUCCUUUGCCAUCCUAAUUCAUCUAGAUAUAUUGCUACUUAGAUGUAUGAUUUCAGAGAACAUAAAUUUAAGUGUUCUUCCUUGAACUUCGAGAGAACUGACAACACCUGUACUUGAUAAGGUAAACACCAAACUUUCCAAUCUUGAUUAAUUUAAAAAUAUAACAGGAACUGGAAUUGAAAACACAGAGCCACAUAUCUAUAGAUAUUUAACAUCGACAUUUGCGGAACUUGGAUUUCUUGGUCAAGCAAAAGGUUACUGGAUGAUUCUUGCACGCAAAAAUGUGCUCUCCGAUCAGAAAAUCUUGUACGCCAUAAAAUGUAAAGUGGAAAUAUCAGAAACUUUCUUACAAGAUAAGAGCCAAACAAUAAGGCAAUACUUCCAAUAGACACCGUGAAUGCAUCUAUCCCCAGAUGAUUGACCACUGCAUCAGAUGAAAACCCAUGACAAAGUAUUACACAUAAAACAUAAAUAUGGCAUGUGAAAAAAAAAAACAAAAUAAAGUAUCAAAAUGCCAUAUAUUUGCAAAAGGCACUCUCAUCCUAGAAGAUGUCAAAUUGACAGAAAAACCUUGAAUGACAAAAGAUGCAUAGUCAGAAUGCAAAAUAAUCAUUACUUGUUAUGAGAUUGCGCUCUAGAAGUAUCAAAUAUAUGCAGUCACGGAACAUCCUCUAAAAUGCUAAGUAUUACAUACUAAUAGUAACAACUCUGAAUAAUAUGGUAAGGUUGUCAAAAAUGGUUUAACCACAAGAUGUUUCGCAUAUGCAUACAAACAAUACAUAAGCAGAGUGAACCAAGAAGUUCCAAACCACAGUCACCUAUUCCCGGCUCUCUGUUAUUUAGGUGAGGGACAUGGAUCAAACAUCAAUUAUAUUGAUAACCUAGGGACUUGGCUGGAAACCCUGAUCAAAAGGUUACAAAAACUUCCAGCACCUACAGGAUUCCAUCAGUCCUUAAUAAACCUGAAUCAGUCUUUUUUCUCAGGAAAUGUCCUGCGAUGUUAUGAUUAAAAUAGUGAAAAUUCUUAAACUUUAUUGAAGUAUGCUAGAUCACCUCAUCUCCAAAAUCUAUCCUGUUGUGCUGGCUUUCUCCGUUUAUGUUAUAAUUUGGCAAAGGAUGCACUUAAUUAUUACAACCAUUUCAACGCUAGAAGUAUUGUCAUAAGGCAUGUACAAGAUUGCAAUUGUAGAAGAAUGCAUAUUGAUAUUCUAGAAUGUCAGUGUUACUUGGCCAGUCGCAAAAGGCUGCCAUGUUCCUGUGCUCUGAGAUAAACAUCCCAAAGUUAUGGCAUAGGACAUGUGUAUGACUGUUAGAUAUAUGCAUUUCAAAAGCAUGUAGAUGUUUUUCAAAGACAGAUGAUUUCUUUAUACAACUUCCAAAAGCUUAAGUCAGUCAUUGUCCUAGAUUAUUCUAGUCAUUGAAAUAUUUAGACUCCUAAAAAUACUUUAACAGUAAAAAGUGAAAAUCAAGUGCCCAAGUGGCAGUAAUACUUGCAUAUACUUUUUUCAUGAAGGGAUAAAAUGCCCAUCGCUUAAGCAGGCAGCCUUCCAGGCUCAGCCUUUUGUUCCCCAAGCAUAUCGCCUUUACUCUUCCUUUUUCUUUAAUACCAUAUUUUGUCAUUUGAGGACCAUGGUCCAGACAGAUCAGGUAAGUAGGUUACUGUUUCCCCAUAACCUGCAGAAAAAAACUUUUUGCUUGGUUCAGACGGUAAUCCUACCCUUGGUUCAAAAUUAACGUUUGGUCCGACCAGGGAGCAAUACUAGUCCAAUAUUGAGAUAUAAAACCAUGUUCAGAACCAAGAAUUAUUACUGCUGUUGUUGCAUUCAUGUCAGAAUGGACUUUCAUACACAUUACAACUGAGCUUAAUAUAUCCAUGCCAUGCCAAAAAGCAUCUAUUCUUGAUCAUCACAUUUAGUUUGUGUAACUAAGAGUAAAGAUCUUAUGUUUUUAAUAUAUCAAUCCAGACCAAACAUACUAAGAGUGUUACUAUACCACAACAACCGAAUAUUUGACCCUAAUCUGACCCAACUGUUAAAGUGGGAAUCAAUAAAAUAUGAUUGAUUGUGAUGUUGGUUGGGUAUUGAUCUUUUAAAUUUUUAAUACUGCAUCUCAUAACACAUGAUAUCAAUGGGUUACUAACCGACAAUGAAGCCUGAAUGGUGCAGAUGGAUGCCAACACCCUAGACUUCCACAUCUCUUUGACCCUUUCCAUUUAGAACAACUGUGGUGACAUGACAGUGUUCUGCGCCAUCCCAACAGUACAUAUUGUUUUACCAACCUAUAUAGACAUGUACCAUAGAUUGUGUUGUGCCAAGUAUGCCACAAAGAUAUUUUCUAUAUGAAAUCAUACUAUUGUUACCACAAUAGUAAAUCCAACAUUUCUAUUCUUACUACAAUAGUGAACAUGACAUCUUUUCUUCGGCUGUAUGUAAAUAUCAAAUGUUUCACUUUUGUAGCAGGCUCUGAAACUUCACAUUAUCAACUCUGAAUUAUAAAAUUGUCCAAGCCAUAACUCCCAGUCAAAUAAAAAUCGAACAUGUCUUUUUAUGCCCCAUCUCUUGUGGGGAUUGAAAUUGAACAAUCCGCUCACAGAGAGUUGUCUUUUUCAAAGACGUGAUGAUGCGUUGACGGUAAUACUGCUUCUUGAUAUCUCUAAACUAAUUGUAACUUUUAUUAAAGAACAUGUAAAAGAUAGUUGUCCUAUGAAUAAGCCUAUUGGAGAAAAGAUAUUUUCGUUUCUCCUGUCAGCAUCAGAUAGCCGCACUGCUAAAAUUGUAAAUUUGCAUUUCGAUUCACAUACAACAAUUAAAUCUACCAAUUAGUAAAAGCUUACUUGAAAGAAUAAAAAUUGCUUCGAUAUAGAAGAUGGAUUGUGCAUGAGAAGAUGGCAUUCCAGGAUCAGGUUUCAAUCCAGCAACAGGUCUUUCGUGGUUCAAUAUCCUCUUUAAUGUAACAGAAAGCGAAACAUUUAUAACCGAUCCCGUUGCGUCCCACAAGAUCUCGGCAUCAUGCUUCCACAGAAUUGCGAGGCCAAAGAGAGCAGCCACUAACCACUUGCUCUGGAACCAUAAAAAAACUGGUCAAAAUAAAUUCAGUUUAAAGAAAAAUAUGCCAGCAACAUGGGUGCCGGAAACAAUAAAAUAGAAACAUAUAAGAACUGGAUCACUUGUACAUCUGAAAGCUUUGCACAAAUAAAUGUAUUUUCCAUAUCCUGCUCAAGUGCAAGACCACAAAUAAAAUACUUUCUAGCGAUGCACCAGAUGCCAUCAGAUACAGUGAAAUCAAGAAUCUUAUUCCAAGUCGCAUCUUCUAACUGUUGAGAAUGCUUUCCCUCGGAGUGUGAAUUCGGUCCCUUCAAUUCAGUGAAUAAAGUCACAAAAGUUAUAAAUAAUUGCCAGGUGAUGAGGUCUCGAGAGCCGCUGCCUAACCCCAUCAUGGAGAAUAACCAUGGAGAAACAUAUAAAAGUUGGUACAGAACGAUUGCUGAAAGCCUUGGAAUCGGACUAACCGUUCCAUUGAGAACCGCUUCGAGGUUUCUCCAUGUAAAGUCUCGAUCCAAGUUGAACGGCCCCGUCCGUAGCAUCGCCUCCACCUCCCCCGGUGCAGUAUCCUCCUCGAUAUCCUGAUCGCUCCCUAAAGCUGCCAGUCUAGUCAACUCGGUCAUGCUACCUCUGCGACCAGACACCGUUGACCUUCCGCUGAGAUGGGAUUUUGAUCUUGAUCCGAGCCGAGGGGUCAAAAUUGGAAUUUUAGAGGCGUGGCGCUGAUGGUACGAGUAGGGCGAGAGGGGUUUCAACGGCGGAAGAUCGAUGGCGGCCGAGGAGGGGAGGGGGAAAGACGGCAUCUUGUGGACGGGGUAGAGGUUGCAGCGACGAGCAUCCUAAGGAAGGGAAUAAAAAGAGGCAUUUGUAGGAGUAGAAGGCAUCCACAAAUUUGUCUGUUUGGCGCAUCGGAACACCCUUUCUAAAGCCGUCCACAGCCUUCCGGCCGAAGGGGAUGUGGUCUCCGCCGCCCACCUCUUUCCCACGAGGUUUUGUUGUGUUAAAAAUUUGGUUUUUGGUGGAAAAUUCUAAUUGAAUACGUUCGUUUUAAAAGAAUAAUUACGUUUCUACUUUUACCUUAUCCGCUAAACACACAAUUACUUUCCUUCUGAAAAGAACACGUGGAACGAAUUAUGUUCUCACUGUCAACCCAUCAAUUAUUACUUUAAAAGAAAUAUAAAUUUAUUAUAAAUAUCAGAUAAUGUGGACGUAAAAAUAUUAUGAGAAUAAAGGAUUUAUGGUUCCAAAUAAUUAUUCUAAUUUAUUAAACAAUAAUAAAGAAACAAAGAAAUUUCUAUACUGAUUUCCUUUGGGUCCGUAAAUAAAAGACACAAAUACAUUAGAUAAUGUCAAUAGCAUUUAAUACCUACCAUCAAAUUGUAUAAUAUUUUUUUAAAUCCUUCGACACAUAUUGUUGUUGUUGUCUGAGGUGUCCACUCAUUCUUGUGAUAUUGUAAAGCAAAUGGUAUCCACACACCGUACCACUUUAUAUAUAUAUAUAUAUAUAUAUAUAUAUAUAUAUAUAUAUAUAUAUAUAUAUAUAUAUAUAUAUAUAUAUAUAUAUAUAUAUCGGGAGUAGGCUUUUGUUAAAAGCUUCUAAAAAUACGGAGUGUGUUGGGCUUGCCUUCCGUCUUCUUGUCACGAAUGUACUCGGCUAGGUUUCUCCGCGGAUCAUCUUAACACAUGUCCCGCGCUUCUAGAAUAAUCUACCCACCACUAUAUAUGAACCACUACCCCGAAGUUUUGAGAGAGGAAAGAGGGAGGAGAGCGGAGGAGAGGCGACAUGGAUCUUGAGGCCAAUUCCUUCCUAGGAGAUGGAUGUUGAAGCGAACUUCUUCUCCUUCCUCCCUCCCUCCGAUCCUUGAGUCUUAACCCUAGACGGAGAGAUGGUCGGCGACGAUGGAAUGGCGGAGAUCCUCCAACUCUUCUGUGCGCGAAGCAAUUUCCAUCCGGAUCUUUUCCUAUCGAGGUAUUUGUAAAGAUCCCCAAAUUACAAGCCCUUGGAUUCUUGACUCUUUCGCUUGUGAUUUCUUUUGCUUCUGUUGUCACGACAUUCGUUUGCAAGAAUGUUGGCAAGAUGUUGUUCUGCAAGAAAAGGAAAUGGGGAUCUCGAAGAGUAUCUCCUCGAACCGUCUUAAGGGCACUUAAUUAAACUUUAUAAUCUAUACCGAUCCUUGAGUCUGACCCCUGAAUGAAUAAGCGACAUAAUAUGGUGGAGAGGUAGAAGAUCCUCUAGAUCUCCUGCGAUGUAUUGGUAAACAUCUCCCAAAAGUAAUCGUUCUUGUAUUCUUGAUUUUUUUUUUAAUCUUGAGUUGAUACGUUUGAUUGUUGAACUGGUUCCUUUUGGUAUUGCAUAACGUGUCCAGAUUGUUUGUGAUUUCUUUUUCUUUUGUUAUUAAGAAUCCUAACAACUUCACAUGUCCUUUCCAAAGAUGUUGUUAGAAUGUCCUUCGGCAAGAAAAUGAGGAUUGGGAUGUGAUUCAUCAUCCUAAAGGUUGAUGAAUUAGAUUAUAACCUUUACCAACUCACUUGAUUCCUCUUUGUUUGUUGUUUGGACUUCUCUUGCAAGAAGUUUAGGUAUGAAAAGUUAGUAAUCGUCUGUCCCAGAAAUUGAUCAUCUGAUUCUUGUGGUUUUUAUUGUCAUAAAUUACCUUUUGUCUGGCACUUCUUAGUGCUAGCCUAAAUGAAAUAGGUUAUUUUGUUAACUAAAUGACACCAUCAUAUUUUCUGACCUUGGGAUCCAUUGGAUCUUUAAUUUGCUUGUUCCUAUUCCUACCUUGGUCUCAUCUUGGGGUCUUAAGACAUGAUGGUUCUUUCAUGAUCUCCUGGUCAUGUUGCAUGUUAUGUUCACAUCUGAGAAUAUAGAAGAAGAUACAGGGUUAUUCUAUGUCUUACAUAUGAAGCUAGCACUGCUUGUGCUUCUUAAUCUGAUCCUAGUGUGAUUAUCAUACUUUUAUGCUACUUUUCUUUAAUUAUUAUUCUUCACAUGAUGAUCAAGAUCAUAAAUAAUGUCACCCCUUUGAAUUUACUUUACAUUUUGACAUAAACAAAUCUCUUCGAUAAGUUUGUUUUUGUUUUCAUAUGUGAGAUUAGCAAUGUUGAUCGGGUUACUAUAUCUUGAUCAAGAUGAUAUCGUAUGUCUUAUAUUAGAAUAUGAUCUGUGAAUCAAGGUCAUGUUGAUAUCUAUCUUUGAUUCCAUUAUGUAAUAAUUAGAUUUGAUUCUAUUAAUUGGUUUAAAAUUAAGUAGCUAAGGAAUGAAUUAUUUAGAUUAGCCUUCAUUUAUAAAAAGCAUGAACUUACCUUAAACUCUAGUUCAUCAUAAGUUUGAAAUUAACUGAUUAUAUAUGUUAUAGAUACGAUUGUGGAUAUAUAAAUACAUUAGGACAUUCUCGUUUAAAUUGUACAGAUUGGAUAUCCAGUCCAAUUAUAACUUGAUUAAGCUUGCCUAAUUUGGUUUCAAUUUUAAUUGACAUGAUCAUAAUAAUUUGUAGUUAUGCAAGCUAAGAUGACACCUGAGUAAGUUUCCAUUAUAAUCCUAAAUAAAUUAGGAUAUCCUCGUUUGAAUUGUACAAAUGCUAUGUUUGGUCCAAUUACAACUUAAGUCGGUAAGUCUAAUUUGUGAUAAGUCAAUUUGAAUUUUGAAUGACUUGUGAUCAUAAUGGUAUUUAAUUUGUGAACAGCAUUUUUAUUCCCCAUGAUAACAUUCCAAUUCAAAGAUUCUUUUAAUCAAAUAUUAACAUCUAACUCUAGUCCUAUGGCCUUCAUAAUGAUAAAUUUGGUCAUGAUUGAUAUCGAGUUCAUUUAAUUAGUAAUUCUUUAUCAUGUCACAUUCAAUUAUAUUACCAGUUUUAAUUUGUUGUAUUUAUGUGGUCAUUUCAUCCUAUGUUCUGGAUCAAAUUAUGUCGACAUAGUUAAGAUCAAGUAGAUCAAAAUUGAUCAUCCAAAGGUUUAUUUAGCAUCCAUGAAAUUCACAAAUUUGACAAGUUAAUAUUAAUAUGUAAUUAAAUAUUUCAUUUUCACUUAAUUAAAUCAAGUGAUGCUUUCAUUUUAAUCCAAAUUUUAGUAUUUUGACCAAGUUGAUGUUUCCACAUGAAGUUGACCCUCCAAGGCCACAUUUUUAAUUAUUUGAUUUCUUGCUUGUUUAUUCUUCAGAUUUUGUUUAUCCGUUUUUAUAGAUGACUUGUUUGCUAAACUUUCCUCUCGUAUUCUGAGUUGAUAUUUUAAGGACUAAGAAAUAUUCUAAAAUGGAAUGCUAGAGUUGGGCAUGCUUCUUGAUUUGAUCCAACCAUAUUAUUAUACUUUUAUGGUGCCUUUUCAUUAGUUAUUCUACAUAAGAUGAUCAAGAUUGUAAAUAAUAAUAUACCUUUGAAUUUAUAAUUGAUUUUAAGAGGCAAUGAAAUUCAAUGACAGGGUUCCCCCCGAAAAUGUUUGUACGAUUUCCAUUGUAAAAUAUGUACCUCCAAUUUGUUCUUUUCAUAUAGUGGAACCAUUUGUGAGGUCGAUUAUAUGAGUUUCAAGAUGAAAAGCUUAGACAUUGCUGUUGGAUAAGAGGUAUGCCAACCGAAAGGAAGUUGCUUAUAACUGCAAGCAUUUGAAAAGCAAGAUCUCUACUAUCAUAUGCUUUGCAAUCUAGACUUGAGGAUCACUUGCACCACAAUUGUCUUAACCUUUUUGGGUUGCUCUAAUUGAAGCAUUUCUAACGUCUAAAGAUGUGGCAAAAAGCUUAAGGCGGAGCAUCGGGGAAGACGUCAAAGAUUAAGCUGCAUUGACUUUGUUUGUUUAUACAUUGAUUUUAUUGCACUGGAAACAAAAGGGUCGAGGGGGUGAAAUCCUUUGUAAAGGUUUGAUGUGGUCAAGGAUAUCCUUUGUAAAGGUUUGAUGUGGUCUAAGGAUAUCCGGUGGUAGGGCAUCUUUUUGUUGAAAUCAGGAUCAAUUAGAUUUGACCAUAUUAUUUGGCUUGGAAUUAAGUAGUUAAGGUUUGACAUAUUUUGCUUAGUUUUAUUCUUAAAGAUUUUUUUAUCACAUGUAUAUUUAGUUGACUAAGCUUGGAGUUAGCUAAUUAAGUACCUGUUAUACAUUUUUAGAUAAAGCCGCUUGCGGCAGGCAUGUCAUACAUUGUUAAUUGCACAAAGGUUAUCGCAUAUGUUCAUAGUUUGAAGGUGAGCGAGCACAUGUCGCUGGCGUAGUUGAUGUGUUCAAAGAUUUGGUGGUUAGACAUUUUGAUUAUUUUUUGUGUUCCGCGUAAAAGUUAUUAUUUUUCACUUUGGCAAUAUUUUCUUAAUUUUUUUAACUAUAAUUUUGUGUUCCGUGUAAAAAAAUGUUCAUGUGGAUUUUGGUCGUCUCGUUGGUGUUAAAAAAGUAAGCCGAAGUGGACAACAGCAAAAUAAAUCGGAUGUGCGUUUUGAAAUAAAUGUGUACCCCUAGGGUAUCAAAUUUUAAUUUUGAUGUAUAUAGGCGGAGAGAGAGAGAAAGAGAGAGAGACAGACAGAGGGAGGGUUUGGGUUGGAGAGGUUAAGGGAGAAGUUGAAGGGGAAAGGGAGGCGGAGGCAUGGGGAGGUGAGGGACGUGGGGUCAGGGAAGGGAGAUGCGGAAAGAGGACGAGAGGGUGGAGCCGGAGUGAGGCAGAGUGGAGUGGGAAAGAAGGGGGAGGUGAUGGAAGAGGGGAAGUGGGGGAAGAGGGAGAGGGAGGCGAAGUGCAGCAGGAAGAGGGGGUUUCCUCCGUCACCUCUCCCUCCCCAGUCCCCUCCACCCCCUCACGUCACUUCUCGCGUCCGUCUCCUUUCCUUCUCACCUCCACCCUCUUUAGCUCCACCGCACUCUCGACCUCUCCCCUCCCCUCCCCUCCCCCGCCCUCUUUUGCUGUCACCCCUAAUGUAAAAUUCCAAUCAGACAUGAUGCAAUGUGAAUUUCACUAUAUUCAACUCAGAUUUGAAGAUAUAAAUUGCAAGGUGAAAAUAACCCAAAUUCUGUAGCUGGCCUAUCACCAAAUGGUCUGGUGCAGGCAUGACAAAUGGUAGAACGAAAUCAUCAAGUUUAAAAUCUGUUUCCACCAUCUGAUUAAGAAAGCAAUUUUCCCCAAGCAGCAGGACUGAAAUUGUGUGACCCAGAUUGGAAACGUCUCUGAGCUACCUAAUAUAAAAGCACCUCAAUCACAGGCUCACAAAUAUGUAAUACUGCAGAAAUCAUAAAUCAACUCAUGAUGUGGAAAAGAUACCUUGACAUACAUAAAUAUCAACUCAUGAUGUGGGAAAGAUAUCAACUCACAAAUAUACCAGCAGUUCUGUUUAUCUUGAGCACAACUAGUUCUAGAACUCGAUGGCCAUUCUUUCAUGAUCGGAACAUGAGAGAACCACACGAGUAGAAGAACUAAAACUACAACAAGUGCAAAAUCCAGCAGUAAGUCACAUUUUUACCAGAGCUGCAAAUUGAGUUCCUUAAAGAAAAACACAAGACAUACUACUAGCAAGUCAGUGGCUGGCAGACAAAUAGACAAAGAAAAACACAAGAGCUAAGGGUACAUUACCGCUGGGUCAUUACCAGAGCAAAAACCAGGAUACUGACACAGCUUUUUCCCAGCUGCAGCUGAGAAAACAGAAAAAAAUUGCAAACUGACCCAAGUUUCAAUUGAGGAUGAACCUUUACAAUACGGAAACAACUAGUAAGAUUAGGCACUAUUUAUUAUGUACUUGAGCAAAUAAGUGUUUUAUUGCUCAUCUGUUCUCACCAUACACAAAAUCUAGAGUCACGCCACUUGUAUUGCGAUAAGAGGAGUUAUAUUGCUUGUCUGAUCUCACCAUACACAAAAUCAACCUUUAGUUUGUCAGGCCACUUGUAUUGCGACAAGACCUACAGUGAAUGGAGGAAACUACAAAUUGUGCAGAAAAUCCUUGUCAACAUGACUGAAAGUACAUGGAUAACUACAAAAAAUGUGUUGCAGAUGGGAACAGGAGGAAAAAUCCUUGUCAACAUGAAUCUUGUCUCAGCAUAAAACUUUCAAGGAUCACCUUCAAAUUCAAUUGCUUUUGCCGGUGCAACAACAUAUACUUGCGAAGAUAAGGCUGAUCAACCAGCUAUAAUUUCAACUAGAGAUUCAUUUUUCAGCAUGCAUGCAAGUUGAAAUUCAACACUACUGGAAACCAUUUUCUCCAAUACUAACUUUCCACAUUGGUCAAUUCAACCACUGCAACAUCUCCAAUAACAUCUAAGAGCAUGUGGUUGGUCAGCAAACAUCAAUAACACAGAACACAUUUGCCAUAUUACUAACAAAUGUAUUUGCUCUCUGCUAUUUUGCCUAAGCAUAAGAAAGAAGGGUGUAAAACACAAAUAUGCUGAUUCCGUUCUUGGUCACCGUAUGUGAUAAUUGUAUAUUUUAAUAAAAUAAGAAAAAUAAAACCAUUAGUUUUGACAAAAGACCAUACACAAGUUCAAUAGCUUCUUGUUUGCUAACCCGAUCAUAAUACUCCUAACCCCACAGGAGAAAGGUUCUUCUCUUUUGAGAAGGUUGUGGAUGAAGAGGGAUUCAAACCCUCGAUACUAUGAUUCAUGGCGACAUUGCACCUCCUAAAAAGAAACCAGCUUUAAGUUGUUUGGUUCAAACUUAAAUAAAUUUAUGUUUAAGCACCUUAUCCAACUGUCUCGUUUUGUGCAGCAUCUUUAAUCAAUUAAAUUAAAUGGCAUUUUGAUUUCAGUUCAAACUUGAAUAAAUUUUGUAAGCUCCACUUAUCAUGCUGGCUUUUAGGUCCAUAUCCACCAAAUCUCCCCUCUAGUAAUCCAAUGUUGGCACUGGACUGUGACAUGUUCUUAUAGGUCAAGUAGUAGCAUAAACCAUGUUAACCGCACUGUUGAUAUCUAAUGCAUCAACAUGUACAAGCAAAAUAUUUACGCUCAGAAGCAUUUUAACAAGGAAAUAACUAUUAAAAUUAAAUUUCUGUUUUAACAGUACGAUUAUCAUCAAGAUGAUACCGUAUUGUCAUGCACUUAGCUAGUUUUGCCUAAGUCGUGUGACACCCUUGUAUAGUUGUUCACAAAGGUCAACCUCCCCGAAACCUCCUAUGGUCUCUUAAGACCUACAAAAAAGAAAACGAGUUAGAGAAAGCGUCUUACUCGGGAUCCACAAGCAAUCAUUUCAGCAAACACUUUAUUUCCAAUGCAAAUUACAAAUAGACUUCACAAGCUCUGAACGGUCGCACAACAAAGGGUCCAAAAUGGUCUACUACAGACCGAAAUCCCCAUAAGUGCUUACAUGACACAACUUUUGUUUGCAAGCCUAGGAUGACCACCAAAACCUAAGAAAAUGAGGCUGCUAAACCUACUAUCAACCCUUUACAUGUUGUGCAAAGCAUGAACAAAACCGAAAGACACGAACAUAUAUGAGCAUUACAUCAAACACCUUAUUUACAGUUUUGUCCGUGACAGUAUGGUAUCCUAAUCUCACUUCUGUGGGUUGGGGUAAGGACUUAUGGUUUAAAAGUUCUGAUGAGGCAGGAAAAUGGCAACUACCACAAAUAUCACAUCUAAAUAUUCAAAAUGAUUCAAACAUGCAUAUACAUCCUUUAACAAUAACCUUGUGAUGGUUGACCCAAGAUGACAAUGGGUUUCUGCAAAUUUUUAUUCAAGGACUUGCAUCAAGAAAUCACUUUAGUUUUCAUUUCAGAUGCCAACUCAAAUGUUGUUUCCAAUGGAAAAAUAAGGAUCGACUUAGUAGACAUGUUAAUAUAUAUAGCAUCUUUGAGUGCCAAAGAAAUCCAAGAUUGCUAUGCAACAAAAGUGACAGCAUUCAACUCCAGAACUUGUAUAGACGUCAGUAAGUGACAGUCAUUAGAGCUAUCUGAGCUAUGAUCUACUAAUAUAUAUAUUUGUAUUGGCUGAUUCAGGGGAUGACCCGUAAGAGAUAGGAGAUAAAGACUUGCACCUCAGAGCUCAGACAUGCUCAUCAAUUUUCAGCAUGAAGAGAGUCGGAAGGCAUUUGAUAGAAUAAUAAUCAUGUUUUAAAAAUUUUUGUGGACAUCAAGGAAAUAAAUUAAACUUAAAAAAAGCUAGGAGCAGGAAUAUAGUAGUAGUAUCAUUUGAUAACAAACAUGAUCAGCUGAAACAAGCAAACUAAUAAGACCAGUCAUGUUAUAUUAUUAUACUGCAUCUUAACUAAUUGUAAGCAAAACUUGCAAAUUUUGUCAUGCAACUCUUGCUACAGACAGCCUAUUCCAAUCAAAAUGCACUAUUUUUCAAACAUUCCUCUAAUAGCAGCUAGAGAAAGACUUUUCCUAAAGCUUUUGUGUGUUUGCGUGUGUAUACACACACACACACACACACACAAGUUCCAUGGCUCAUAAGACCAACUAAACACAUUAAACAAGGCAUGCAUAGGUCAGAUUUUUUGACAUCUAAUGUAGCAAAUAGGUUAUAACUACAGAACAUAAAGAAGUUGAAUAGCUUGGAAAUAUAUGAACUUUACAAAUCAAGUAUUCGUACAGUCAUAUGCCGAAAUCCAGCAGUAUAUCUAUACAGCAAACGAUAUCUGUUAGUCGACAAGGAAACAGAUACAACUAUAUUGGACCACCAUGUCAUAUAAGAGAAUAAUGACCCCCUGGCAGUUCGCUUAGUCUCAAUCAACUGAGACCCAUCAAGAAUGGAACAUGUCAGUGACGAAAUUUCUAGACAAUAAGACAAGAGACAAAAAAACCUUACAAAGCACAGCUGACCUCACCUUAGUCUCUGGACUCGAUGUUCCACCAAAGAACAUCAUCCACUAUCUCAAUCUAGGCAGCAUAAAAAUGACUACCAGAAUUUCUAGAUUCUUCCCAGUGUUAAAAAAUUGGUUAUAAAUGAAAAGAAAAAAAAUUGAUGUGAAACUCGGCGAGCCUUUGGUUGAGAGGCGUAUUAGACAGUUAGGUUUCCGCAAAAGCAACAAUGCGACACAUCUUAUACACCCACACAUGAUCUGGGUUGUUGUUCCCGAACGGAACUGAAUACAGGAAAACGAUGACGACGAAGAAGAAAGAACUCCAAGAAUACUAGCAUGCUCGGCCAAAUUUUGAUGGUGGCAGUCUCCUAAUCAUCACUUAAUUCAAGAACUCGUUUCAGUAUGAAAGGAAAGCAAGGAACAAAGAUGAUCGAGAACAAAUUCACCCGGAAGGAUCAAACCCUAUCUAUAGGUGCCGCCGCUUUGCAACUCCCUGAAGCGAUUCAAUAUCUCGAGAUCAUGGCUACCAUCCUUGACGAUCGACCUCAAACGCAAUCUUCUGAGGGCGUCAUUGAGAUGAUCGCUCAACUUUGGGGUUCGGGUUUUCGGAUCGGGGAAUUAUAGAAGAAUAAACAAGCACAACUCCAAGAAAAGUAGCACGCUCGACUAAAUCAUAGCAGUGUCAUCCCAGAUCUCAUCAAAUAAUUCAAGAACUCGUCACUUCCGUCAUUCAAGGUAUCAAAGGAAGAAAAGCGAACAAACAAGAUCAAGAAAAAUUCACCUGAAAGGAUCAACCUCAUUCGGGCUCCUCUCCACCACCUUAGUGGAAUCUUGAAACCCCGUUGCCCCGCCCCAGUCGAGGUGGCUAUCGGUGAUCUGCGGAAAGCCUCUGACGGACGAGGGAGGAAGAAGCGCUAUCUUGAGACGAUCAAUGCUCUUGGGACUGGAGAUUUCGGACAGGGAGACUGGGGGAGCGAGCGUCGGUAGGGAUCUCAGGGAGGAAAUGGGAGGAUCGGGUGGCUAUCAGUGGUCUGGGGAAAGACUCUGUGGGACGACGGAGGAAGAAGCGGAAUAUUGAGACGAUCAAUGCUCUUUGGGGUUGGAGAUAUCUGCCGGGAACGGUACAAAGUCGGUGAUUGCGCAUUUAUACUAGAGCUAUUCACGUGUUUCGCACAUGCUGGAAAAGUAGGGAAGGGGGGAGACGUUGUCAUGCCGCUUACACGACUCAUCAACCCACCACCGCAGCCACCCAUCCUAUCCAUUCAUGACAUCGGACACAAGAUUGAUAUGGAUUCGAUGGUUCCGAUGAAUUCUGAGGGAUUGGUAUGACAAAUUGGUUCCCCCGGAGUCCCCAUUGGGAGCUUCCAGAUUAUUCGGACCUCUCCGCUCCCGGACACCAAAGAUGGUGAUCGCCCAAUUAUUACAUGCCACGCGCCCCGACGCAUAUUACCAGGUGGCGAAGUUAGACGUCCUCGAUAUAACACCACCCGAUAAAUCAACAACGGAGAGAAGACACAACGACAUCGCCGGCCUUCGGUUCGCCCCCGUCCAUCGAAAUCCACAGGUGUGUCCUUCGUUUCGUAGAUGGAUUCGCUCUUUUCUCGACCCUGAUAUUUGGAAACCUAUUGAUUGGUUACUUUUUUUUUUCUUUUGGACUCGUCGCCAUCGAAAUUGAUUCUAACUUGUUGGAAUUCGAUAGAAAACCCGACCUAGUGCGGUAAAGAUCACGGGCUUCGGCUUGUUCUUCGAAGCAAUUGGUGCGUUUCUUUGUUGAAGUGUGAAAAUUUUGUUUCGCUCGUGAUGUUUGUCGAAUCCAUCAUCGGCAGAGGAAUAGAUCGACGACUAAACAGAAGCCCUCGAUCCCCUCGUGUUGGUAGGGAAGCCCUCAUCGGUAGGAAAGAAGAGCGAUGGCUUCCUCGGCACUGAAGGCGGUGGCGGAGAAGGUCGGCCCUGCUUCCCGCAAGCAGGCUCUGACGCUAACCGAUGCUGCGGCUGCGAGGAUACGCCACCUGCUCAACGUCCGUCAGAGGCUUUAUCUUCGUCUUGGCGUCAAGGCCCGGGGUUGCAAUGGUUUAUCCUACAACCUCAACUAUGCUGGUUUGCUCUCCUUUCCCUUCCAAUUAACGUCUGCUGGCUUUUCUCCAAAAACGAUUAAAAGAUUCUAUUUUUGUUAUUUUGAUUAAUAGAGACUGCAAAAUCCACCUUUAUUAUUUGACGGUGCUCCAAUUUGUAUUCUUCUCUCUGUCUCUAUCUCUGUUAUUUGCUAUCUGCUUUGAGCUUUCUAAUGGUGUUAUUAAUUUUUGGUUUUAGUUUCCUUAGAAAUUCCUUUAUGUAGAAUCUUUUAUUGGAUUGUUUCUGUUGGUUUAGAUAUUUGUUUCAGUUUGCUGUGUUGCUUUUACCUCGUGUGUUGGAUGAUACAGCUUCCUUUGUCUUAACUGUUGUUGAAGACGCUCCAUACAGAUGUAGAACAUUUUGGGCUUUAUAAUUGUCACAGGUAUCUUUAUUCCAAAGUCACGCAUGUAGAAUUAUCAAAAGUAAACUUUCAUUUUUAUAGAGAACCUGAAACAAUCAUGGAGAGACUGCAUACCUAAGUGAAGAAAACACAAAUAUUUUGUUGGAUUAUUAAGUUAAAAGCAGUUUGCAAACCAACCAAAAUCUACCAUUCUUGACAUGUAUGGUAGAAUAUCAAGUAUGAAACCAGCAUGUCCUGACAAUUGCAACUUUCACUUGGACUUGUCUUUUCUUGUUGAUUUUAGUUCUUCUAAGGCUAUAAAACCAUCAAGCAUCUGCUAGUAUGCUUUUAGAUUAGCCUGUUGGUGGUUCUGUUAUCAUAAGAGCCUUGACGUAGUCGUUAAUUGACUCAUUAGUUAGUAAAUUCUAGUUGUUUUCCUCCUUCCAUUUAUUUCCUCAUAAUGUUUACUUGUCUAAAAUUUUUUAUGAUGGAGUUCGUAUAUUAGUCUCCUAAUACUUGAGUUACAAUUAGAGCCUUAGUGUAGUCUUCUGUACUAUCACAGAAGUUAAAUUCUGUGUUUUUUUUACCCUUGCUACUAUUAACAAGGACAAGGCUGUAUUUGGUGGGAGAUAUCUGAGCUCUCAUUUUAGAUUAUUUUGGUCAUAUUGCAGUGGAAUAUCCAAAUAACGGUAUUAUAUAGGCUUCAUGUUCAUAGCAUACUCUAUUUUACUGAUUGGAAGUGUCUUUAUUUGAAUUGUGCUUGCUCAAUGGUUGAUGUGAUACGUUCUGAUUUGCAGAUGAGAAAGGUAGAUUUGAUGAGCUCGUGGAGGAUAAGGGUGUCAAGAUACUCGUUGAUCCAAAAGCUCUUAUGCAUGUGAUUGGAACAAAGAUGGAUUUUGUUGAUGAUGCACUCAAGUAGGUUUUACUUGACAAAAUCAGGACGCUUUUCAUUUAUAAUUUGCAUCAAUUUACAUGGUGACAUUUUGAGAUCUUAAAUACUUGAUUACUGCUUGCAGGUCAGAGUUCAUAUUUAUCAAUCCCAACUCGAAGGGGCAAUGUGGUUGUGGUGAAUCCUUCAUGACAAGAAGCAGCAGUCCAAACGUUAAACCAGCUGAUCUAUAGCAUUACAAUGGGACAUCCGAAGGUGGAACCUACCCUUCAGGAACCGAUGUUGCAGUUAUCGUCUGAUUUGAUUGAAUAUGCAAUGACACGAGUAUUGUUUGAUGAUUCAGCGGAUAGCUGAUGAAACCAGUCUGCAGCUGAUUUCCGAUACAAGUAUGCCACGGUGUGGGAUUCUUGCUGAGCAGUCAUCUAAUUACUUUUCCUGUUCUUGUUUCUUUCAAAGAAGGAAAAAAGAAUUGCUAGACAUGAUUCUAAGCAAUUUGAUAUGGUACACACUGAUGUCCAUGAUACUGUAAUUUGGUGCUUGGCACCGCAGGAGCCAUCCAAAUAAAUAUACUAUCUGGUUUCCCAAUGAAAUAAUUUGGUCCGUUGAUGGGCAUUCAGCUGAAGCUCGUUCACCUUCAAACCGAUCUAAAUGAAUCGUAUGGCAUGUCUGGCCCUGUUCCAAGCGAUGCACGGGGAAGGUAAAUCUCAAUACCAAAUCCGCCAUUAUAAUUUAGCGUGCAUCACUUAUUAAGAGCAACGUACAGAGUUCAGGUGAGGCUGCAGGCAUUCGAGCACAUAUAUUGUCGCGCUUGGAGAAAUUUGCGGGCUAUCGAAUCGCUAAUGAUUUUACAGAGCCAACGACGUAGCAAUUAUCUCACGUAUUUUGUCCUAAGCUUCGAAAAUGAACUCUGAAACACAUUUGUAGUAAACAACAUUCUCAUAUAUCAACUAAAUGACCAAAAUAAGAGUACAUUAGUGAAAGCAAGACUUGUUUCUGCUACAGUAUCUCUUCAGUCCGACCAAUAACCGUAGAGUGCAAGAAUAAAAAGAGAGAGAGAGAGAUGCAGACGGGACACCCAAGCUCCUCUUCAAGCUGACCUAACUCAAUAUCAGAAUUUUCACCUCCAAUCCGGAGCACAGGUUGCCGGAAGCUUUUUGCCAGUUGCAACCCAAUAACCAUGCACGGGCAUAAGCAAUGUUCACAAGAAGCUCCCCAUGCUGACCAAAUUACAAUUAAUCAGCCCCCCAUUUCUACCUCUUAUCUAAUGCAUAUUGGAUCGGUAGUUAGUCUCUUAGGGUUCAAUACCAAUAUUUCUGGUUUACACAGCAUUGCUUGUGCGUGAUAUCCUUUGUGCCUCUUCCAGGUCUUUUAGGAACCUGCAUUUUCCAAAAGACAUUUUGUGGAUCAUUGUUUCUGUACAACAUGAAGAAACAUUGCUAAGCAAAUUACUAAUUCUGAAUGGGUCAUGUAAGUUGCUUGUGUUUUCUAGUGAUGAAAUUAGUAAUGCAAGGUUUGUAUAACUCCUAAUGCAUGCCAUUUUCCGCUGCACUCAUGGUUUAAUCAGGCAUAGUUUCAAAUCAUUAGCAUUCAUGUUGUAUACACCAUAGCUAUGAUCAACACAAAAAAUGGCAUAAUGUCUGACCAUAAAAUCUCCAUAUAAAUACAAAAUGGUAAACACAUAUAUGCAUGAUACUCUGUAAAUCUAUUCAUGUUUGAGAAAUUAACAGCUUGUGGCAUGAUAAGUAAUGUCAACUAGCAAACAAACUCGAACAAACCAGAAGAAAGUACAUAGUAAGAAUAAAAUUCAGCUAGAAACCAAUGCAAUUAACUUACCGCUUAGAGUUGAGAACCACAGAGCCUCCAAGUAUGAAACGUGUUCCAGAAUUUGCAGCAUUAUGCAAAGCCACAGUCCGCGCCUCCUCAUAUGUUGUCCCUCCAACAAUGAAUAUCACUACAUCCUGAGGUCUGCAUCACAUAAGCAAAAUAAAUAAUCCAAUCUUUAAAAAGAAAGCAAUCUUUAACAGUAGUUGGAAAAAACACUAUUUUUCAGAUAUAGGUGCUCAAUUCAGAAGUUGCAUCAAUUUAACUUGAUGCAAGUACCAACGUGCUAUUAUAAAGGAAACCUGAAAAAAAGAGCAAUUUUAUUUUGCUAGUAGUAACUCAUGCAACAAGCAUUUACCCAGUUCAAAGAGCAAAAAGGACCUACCAAGCUACAACUAAGGAUUAAACUACUAAAUUAACCAAAUUUAUUGCAUAAAAAAUAGAGAAUAUCGAGCCAUGAAACCUCAGGCUAACAAUCUUCUCAUACAUAUAUAUAGUGGUGGGGGGAAGUUAAUCUCAUUACCCACUGAAAUCAUCAUCCAUUUAAACUACCUAAAAGGGCACUCAGAACUCACAAAAUUGUACCUUGAUAGUUUAUUAUACUCAUAUUGGGAAGUCACUAAUUAAACUUUUAAAAAAUAAGUUUGAAACAACCAGAAAAACAGGAAAGUAUAUCCUAUUACUGCUAGAAGUUGGUGAGGAGGUUCAGUCAAUUAUCUCGUUUCCUAAAUUGAUUAGGAAAGUAUUGACAACCAGUUUCUUCAGUUCUAUUCGAUUAGGAUUAAGCUGACCAUAUUUACACAGCUGCAUAAAUGUCCUUCAGCAAAACCACAUAGGAAUACCCUUUCCCGAGGAAUUUCUGCACCAAGCUAGGAAUCACUCAUAAUGUGUAGACUUUGGGAUAAUUUUGCCAGAGUGAUGCAUUCGAAGGCUGCAACAAGCUUGUCAAGCUAAAUCAUUCUCAGCCAAACCAUAUUUAGCCCUUUUAGAGGUAAAAGAUAGCCAGGGUCAAAUAGGCCUGGCUAUGUACUGGACUGAUUAGAGGUCUGGAAUUAAGUCACAUCAUAACAUAAUUAUAAACAUUGCACAUGGGAUUUUAGUUUGUAAUGUUAUUGAAUAGCUUCUAGAAAUACCAUGUCAAUCCAUCACCUGACAAAAUACACAAUAAUUACAUAAGUACCACAAACGAGAGAUUUUGAGGAUUUUAUAAGUCACUACUCCAAAGGAAUGGAAACCUACAUAAAAGCUGGAGACCAUCCACAUCCAUACAUCCGAGAAGAGUGCAAACACAAGAUGAGAGAACAAAGCAAAGGGAGAAUCAAACAACACAUCAAGUACCACAAACUUGAGAUUUUGAGGAUUUUAGAAGUCACUACUCCAAAGGAAUGGAAGCCUACAUAAAAAGCUGGCUUUAAUUUAACAGUAGGCCUCAGUCAAUGUAUAUAUACCCUAAACUUGAGAUUUUGAGGAUUUUGCAAGUCACUACUCCAAAGGAAUGGAAACCUACAUAAAAAGGUGGCUUUAAUUUAACAGUAGGCCUCAGUCAAUCUGUAGGGUACAUACAUACAUACAUAUAUACAUACAUACAUAAAUAUAUAUAUAUAUAUAUAUAUANNNNNNNNNNNNNNNNNNNNAAUAUAUAUAUAUAUAUAUAUAUAUAUAUAUAUAUAUAUAUAUAUAUAUAAUUUUUAGUAUGCCAUUGUGAUAACCCAGAUAUCUAAAAUAAUGACCAUUAUGGCCAAAUGCCUAAGACAUUUUAAUCAAUAUUCUAGAGCUUUGUUGAUUAAAAUAAUAUUAAGUAGUCAUGAUAGAGCUUUGUUCUUGGAGAACUAUUUAUCUUUCAAAAGAAAAAAAGUGUCCAUGAUAACAAACCUCCCCUGUUGAAAGUGAUUUCCAAUAAAUGGAUAGUCAACAUCUCGUAGUCGCCCCUUGAUGAUGCUUUCCAUUGUUUGAAACAGAAGUGGUUGGUGUUGGGUGUAGACGUUCUCAACACCCUGUCUCAACAUAAAUUCCAUAUUAAAAUGUCCUAGAUGUGGCAAGAGAUAAUGUUGCUGCAUACCUUAAGUCCACGAGCCAUAUUACGAGCAAUGUUCAAGAGAUCACGAUUGCCAUAUAGAUCUCCAGUUCGUUUAUCGAUGCCUGCUUGCUUGAGGAGGAACUGGACAAGCUGUAGGCCAUGAUAAUAAAUAAGAUUAAUAAAUCACAAUUAUGUCCAUGAUGGGCAUAAAAAGCAUAUGUAUUUCCAUACUCAAUAUUAGUUGAAACUAUAGAGAGACUAAAACACUUGCAGGCUGAUUCAAAUUCCAGAAGGAUGCAUGACCAUCAAAGGCAGAGAAUUAAGUAGGGAAAACAAAAGGAUCCUCUUCCAGUUGCAGUCAUGCAACUCAGCAUCUAAAACAAUCACACUUAUACAGAUGAGAUCAGAGCACUAGUUUCAAAGAAGUGCUUAAGAUUUGAUCAGUACUCAAAAUAGAACUAUAUUUUACUUGAGAAGAUUUUGUUGCAUGAUAUUUAAAAAAAUAAUGACAAAAAGCAAUUGGCAUGAUCUGUCAGUGAUACAAGAACCACAUCUGUGUGAAAAGGAUUUAUCACUGACAAUCAAACACAAUACCGAAAACUUGAUUUUGGUGAAAGAAAAACAUCUAUCUAAUUAAUGUACACAAACUUUCUUCUAAACCAUUAAUGACAACAAAGGAAAAAUGAAGUGGCAUUGGCAGGCUACAAGUAAAACCAAGACAAUUCAUUCUGUAAGGACUUAGCGAUACUGCAAAGUCAAAAGAAAUACAAUUUUUUAAUUAAAAAUAAUACAAAUUAAGAAUAAAAAUACAAUGUAGGAAAGAGAUGACUAUUAAAGCCUAAUGCAGAACAGGAAAUUUGUUUGGUCAAGUUACCCCAGGCUUAUACUUAGCAGAAUGAGAAGCUAGUUUGUUAAAAAGCUGCAUCAACUGAACCGGACUCUCCUUCUCAUAGCGCAAGGCAUAUAGCAUUACUAGCCGCAAACGAUCAACAUCAGAAAUAGUUUCAUCAUUCAGAAGCUUGGUGACAGCCUGCAAAAUGGAACAAACCACUAUGUCAGAUAUUGAAGAAACAACAGCUAGACUGAAACUAUUGUGUUGGGCCUGACAAUCAUAAACUAACAUUAAGCAAUAUGAUCCAAUGGUAGCAGUAUUUGGAAGAGUUAUAUGACAAACAAUGCUUGCUCUUUUCUCCCAAUAUACUUCUGUAAACUAUUUUCUAUACCCUUUUUUGUACCGGUGCCACCUGGCAUGAUUUGGUCCUGCACAGGAGGAGGGGGAGGAACAAACAAUAAGAUUGAAUACAAAGUGCCAAGAUGAGGGACUGAACCUUCUACCUCUUGAAAUCCAUCCAGAUGAUUAUCAUCCUGGUAAAAGCAUGAUGACAUCUUACUACUUAUUUUCAAUCAUAUGAUAUCACAAAAGCAUUAAUGGGGCUAACGAUGAGACUUAGCCAAUAAAACUUCCCCCACACUCUCUCUCCCUCCACCCGCAAAUGCGCUUUUCCGCAUAUUAUUUGUAUAUCAAUUAAAACAACAAACCGAAAUUAGAGAUGGGAUCAAAUAGGCUUAGGUACACAACUUUAGAGAUGAAGGAUUGAAAAUGUCUAAAUACGGCUAGGAGUUGGCCAGACCUAUGAUGACAUGUUGGCAUAUCACUUAAAAAUGCAUCACAUCUGAAAUUUUAACUAAUGAAACCUCUAGUCCUUAAAACUUCUUAUGUGUAUAAUGUUAACACGUUAUGCAAACAAAUUUGCCGCCACAUACAAAAUGUCACAAAGAUAUCCUUAAGCAAUUUUUUUUAUCUUCUUUGAACAGAAAGUUGAUCAUCCAAAUUAUAUACUUGAUGAAUUAUAUGGAUGCCAUCUUACUAGUUAUAGCGUCAAGGUAUUAAAAGUGUAUGGAUAUGUGACUUGUGGAAUACCUCAAAAGCUGCCACUUGUCCACCAUUACAUGCAAGCUCUUGUUCUGUUUGUGAAACUAUCAUGAGCUUCCUCUCUUCAACAAUUCUGCUCAUUUCUGUAACCAUUGUCACAUGCUUUGAAACAUUUCCUUGCAUCUUUCUGUACUCAGGGUAGUUGUUCACAAAUUUCAUCAUAUCCUCUACAAGAGGAAAUGUCCAAAAGUACAAUUGGUAAGCUCUAUUACUUGUCAUGCUAAUUAGAGAUAGCAAUAGCAAACCCCGGUCAGUACCUAUCGUUUGGAUGUUCUGAUUACUAUUCGUAAUUUGUUGAAAUUCAUCCACCAUUGUCUUGAUAUUCAUUCCAAGAUCUCCAAAAUUCUCGUACAUGUUAGAUUUAAAGAAGCUAUCUUGUUCUGAUGACAGCACCACCUCCUGUGUCAGACCAACAGCACAUGUAAUAGAUUUUGAAAUAUUGAGGUCAAAUCAAUGAUAGCAAAAUAGGUUAUAAAAUUACAGCAACCUGCUGAUCUUUGGAAACUUUUGGAGUGUUUCUCAGAUCUACUUUAUUAUCUUCAAUUCCAAUCAGCUCAUGUACCAUUGCCUGUUAAGUGUGUAUAGAGAAUUCUGAUUUAAUAAUUUAGAUAAUAAGGAUAGUAGCAGAAACUUGGGUUCCACUUAUGUCAAAUUUACUUGAUAAGUCCAUUGGUUUAGUAACGGUGUAACAGGAUCAUCCCUCCUAUCAAUCACAAGCAACAACGGGGAGAAUUCUGUACGCCUGAAAUCAAACAGACCACUUUCCUGCUCGUACAUAAGCUUCUGCAGCAUGACAACAGUAGGAGUUAAAAACAAGUUCCAUGUGAACAUGAUAACAUUAAAUUAUAGCUAACGUCAGAAGGCACUGGGGAAAAAGAGCAAAACUACCAUGACAAUAAAGAAGCCAUAUCAUGCAAAUUAAUGUAUGACUAAUGGUAUUUACUCACAGCAGUCUCUUGUGCUAUCCUUUUGGCAAUAUCUGAGGCCCGUUGAUACCGAAUAACAGGACGGCGUUUAAGUGCUAAGAAAACUGCAGCAAUGCCAUCAACUGCUCGAUCACAAAAGCUAUGUGAACUUGGAGGGUCCACCACCGCUGGGAGCAUGUAUAUGUGAUUCAUUUGCAUGUUUAAAGUGAAAUGGUAAGGAUCAAUAGCACAAAAGUCAGCAAAAAACUCCUGUGAGGUCAAAAUUAAUACCAUUAUGACAGGAAAAGAAUUCAGCAUAAAUUAUAGGUAUAAGUAGCUUGAACAAAAAUAGAACAAAAUUUUAAUUAACUUGAUGGCAAGUAAAUGCAAAUUACCUGCACUUGAUGGACGACUUCUUGUUCAUCUGAGUCAGCAAGUACUUGAAUCUGGGUAAUCUUCAGGAUAUUGGAAAAAACUACACAAAGACAAAGCUACUAACCUUUUGGCACACAGAUUUAAAUUAAGAAAUUUAUUAAAAAGUCCACAAAGCAUACACAAGUGAUAUUCUCCAAAUCGGGGAUUAGCCAAUUGACGCCGUAACUUUUGAAUAUUCUCUGAUGUUGGGCGAAGAAAGUAAACAGCUUUUAGGUGGGUCAUUGUUUCCUUUGACAUGGAAUCAACAAGUUCCACCAAAAAGACCUCCUUCUUAAGAAGUUCCGAUUGACUGUAAGCAACACUCACAAUGCUGACCUGCAAGUUAUGCACCAUAAAUGUGGUUCUGAAACAUUGCUAUAAAAAAAAAUACAACUUCUCAAAUCCUGCAAUUAAUUUCAAUGUGCCACUUUUCUCUAAGAACAGGGGACAGAACAGCUCCAAAUUCCGAUCAGGUCAAAAUAUGAAACAGAUGCAAACAGUCAUAUUUAGCUAUGACUGAUGGCUAGUGAUCUGUACAAUGUUCAGAUUUCAUGGAAUAACUGAAGUCACUUCAACUACAAACAAAUUUCUGGGAUUGUUGCUCAUGAAACUCUCACAAGAGAUGGUACUGAAUUUUGCCCUUAAACGGAGACACAACAAGCAAAAUGUUCUAUAAGCUUUUUUGAACACUGCGUAUCUGAAAAGAUCAAGGAAAAACACUGAGUUUUGUGGAGAAAGCAGAAGAGCUUUCCCAACUACCAGCGUCUAUAUAGAUCGCUAUACGAUCUGCCAAUUUUUUUUAAUAAUAAUCCUAAGAAUCAGUGCCACCCUUAAGCUCUAACAAUAGCGAGCUGGAAUCCCUAUUUGUCAAUUUCUAAGCUGAAUAACUUUGAUUGGAGCGAUUAUGCAAUAUCCGACAAAUUUUAGAAGAUAGCUCGCCUAACAAUUCCGCCAUUUUCAGACAUCAAAUUUCAGGAUAUUGCGUCGAUUAAAAAAACAAAACAAAACAAAACAAAAUCAGUUGAUGUAAACGAAGGUGCUGUGACGCCAUGAUCAUGGAUCCAGGGCGGCGCCAAAAACAGAGAUCCGAACGAUGAGUACCAGAUCAACGAUUUAUCAAAGAACACGGGUCCGUAGAGAUGCAAUCAAGAAGGGGAUAGCAUCCAAGUAAGACGUACCGUGCUAGAAUCGAGGAUGAGGACCUUCAUGCCAGGGAUGUCCUGCAGCAUCCGCCCUAUGUAGUCGCGAACCAGGGUGAUCAGCACCAUUUCUUCGCCUCUUCUGGAUGGAAUCAAGGAAUUAAGGUCUGAGGGCUGGUUAUGCAGCGGCAGGGGUCGUGGAUCCGGUGGUUUUGUCGACGUAGUUAGGGUUACGAUGGGGUCUUCGACCGCGUAAGGGCUGCGGUGGCGGUCGUUGGCGGCGAGAGGACGAAGGAGGCGGAAGCGGAAGGACGAACGUGAGCAGUUCCACGGGUUGUGCUUUGUUUAUGUAUUUUGUUUCGCUUUGAUCCCAAACCAGACCAUUUAAUAUAGUUCAACAACGAUUCGGCCUGGCCGCAGCGGAGUCGGAAUGAACAGCCAUUGAUCCUGGUAUCAAACGGCGUCAACUUGGGUAUUUGUAAGGAUAGCAAGCGCAUCGUCGGCAGCGUGCGAUUCACGUGGCGGGGAUAUCUGUUUAGACGUCUGAGCGAAGCAAGGAAACCCACUCGAGGUCACGAGCGGGUCCCACCACAUACGUGAACGGCCGGGGCGAGAGCCGCCAUGCCCGGAACCGUGCCCCCGCCCGGAUAACCGAACCUUACCGUUGCGGAGGGAUAAAUUUGUAGUUCAGCAGAGUUUGACAGGACCAGCAGGCAUGGGACGGAUAGCAUUAUUGCCACUUGAUCCGUGAUUCGAUUCUUUACCGUGGCUGCGAACGUGGUGGUCUGUGUAACAGCAGUGCCGGAAAAGAAACCAACUUAGGCUAGCCGACGCAGAGACGUAGAGUAGAAUUUUAGAUGUAGCCCUCCGGUUACCAAAUUACUCGACACAUCGUGACGUUCAUAUGGAUGCGCAGCGCAGCGUGAAGCUAAAUAAUAAGGUGUAUCGGGUUCAUGCUCCUCAAACCAUGUUAUCUUGUAUCUCAGCAAAGGCCCUGCAACCCCCAAGAAUAACAACAUUACUUUUUCUUUUUUUACUUACUAUUCACAGUCCUCUCUUUUCUAUUGAUAAUUCUUAUAUAUAUAUAUAUAUAUAUAUAUAUAUAUAUAUAUAUAUAUAUAUAUAUAUAUAUAUAUAUAUAUAAUCUCAUUAUUACUGAUUCGUUUAUUUNNNNNNNNNNNNNNNNNNNNUUUUUAUUUCAUUCUCGCUUUAUAUCGUUCAACCCCAUUCGUCACCCUCUCGUUGUUAUCCUCCAAGAAGGAAGAAGAAAAAAAAAGAGAUGACAAAAAAGGAAGAAUAAAAUAAUAUUUACGUUUAUUUAUAAAAAAAAUAAUUUAAAAUAUUUGUUUUUAAAAAAAUAAUAUUUUAAAUAGUAAAAAGAAAAUUACAAAUAGCUUUUUUAUUUUUACAUGCUGGGAUCUCUUCUCAUUCCCCCUGAGACAUAUUUCUUCUCAUUCGCAUGGCCAAUUUCUCUUGAGCUCGAAACCAAACCAGAAUGUGGCAGUUGCAAUAGUUGUGUUAAAUAGCCAAAUUUUGCUGCAGAAAAAGUCGUAGGCUCACUGUGCUUUGUUUUUCCUCAUGAAAACACCAUGCCAAAAUUAAUAAGCAAAUGAUAGAUCAUAUAUCGUGCAACGUUAUUUAUUUAUCAGACUUAUACUAUCUGCCUCUAACAAUUCAGGUAACCUCGAUAAUCAUUUAUCAGCUGCUGGUCCUCCGUACAUGUAAUACAUGCCUUCAGUAGAUAUAUCCCAUGAACAGAUAAAGACGCUGAACUGAAUCCCUGCACGCUCUUCUUUCAAAUGCAGAACAUUUUCAUCUGCAGAACUUUAUAGAAAGAAUUCCAUAAGUCAUUUCUCAUAAGAAAUGAUAAAGCAUAAAGUAACCUUUUGAUAAUUCCAUUUGAGCCUAAUCAUCUUAACUAACCCUGAACUUAGCCUCCUCUUGCCGGUCGAUGUAUGCAAGAAGUUCCUCUUGCUUCAUAAGAACUUCAUGCAAAGCCUACAUAGAGCAGACAAAAAGUCAGACUAGUGUUUAAAAAAAGAAGCUUAUUUCCACAUGGAUGUACAGAAAUCAAACUUGCAAAUUUAUGGAACAAAACUAUGAAGUAUCUUAACAUACGGAGCUCCAUGUAAGGUGCUACCAAGGAAAACAGACACACGCACAAUGAAGUGAUAUGACAAAAUAUCUAUAUGUCAAUCGCGUGGAUGAAGGUGGUCACUUAGACAAAUUGAUGUUUCACCAAGUAUACUGCAUUCGAGUUAUGACAAUAAUCAAGCUGCAUGGAUCAUUACUAGAUGAUAAGAAAAUAGCACUGAUCACAAAUAUCAUUUGUGCAACAGGAUAGCAGACUUUAUAUGCAUGUAUUUUGCAAAUAAGAAAUUAGAUCUGCUGUUAGCCUGUUCUUGAAGAGUUAACAAGAUGAAAAACAAAUACCUUUUUGGUCACAAUCAGCUCAACUUCUAAUGCAUCGACACGAUGAACAGCAGCAUUAAGUAACUCCUCUUUCUCCAAAGGCAUUUCAGAUGGCCUUGAUUGAAGAGCAUUCACCUUUUCUUCCAAGUCACUGAGCCUUUUUAGAAGGCAUGAAAAGUCAGAUUCUGUAAAACCAGGAGCAGGUGGGGGGUGGAAUUCCUCUUGAAGCAAUGGUUCCACAGAAACUGAAGAAUCAUUUUGACUUGUCCCAGAAGUUUUCUCCUGGAUUCUCCUCUUCACAUGGCUAGUUAAUGAACAAAUAAGUGCAGCAAGGGUCAUGAAGAAUGUUAUCAACACUGCUAUUGUUUGAGCUCGGAUUCCACUGGAUGAGUUACGAGUUUCCAAUGUAGAGUACUCCCCUGCAUCUAAAAUCACAAGAAUUUACAGAACCCUUCCAUCACCUUAGAGAACAAGGGAAAAUUUUGGAUCAUAGAUCAAGAUUCAAUUGUGCAUCAGGAACAAUGGCAAAAUACAUUGUCCAUUAUGCCACUCAAGUAAAAAGAGCGCAAAAAAGACAUCUACAAGUUAACUACAAGUCAAGUUGGAAGUAGUUUAAAGAUAUAGGCAUGAAAUUGCAAGAUUUGAUCUUUCAAACCAGAAGGUUAGAAAACGUUGCAGAUCAAACAGAAGAUUAGUAUUUGUGGGUUAGUUAAAAUAUGCAAACAUAUAGCAGAUAAUCAUAUGGAGUGGAUCUAUUCACUAGGAACCAAAUUGUCACCUCAUAAAUAUUUGUCCAAAUUUUCUAGAUUGAAACCUUACCUAUCAUCAAAAGGGUUAAAUUUUACUAAGAGCAAGAAAAUGAGUAUUAGCAAUUCCUACAAUAAGCCAUAAGGUCCAAAUGUCUAGGGUCUACUGCAUGGAUAUUUUCCACUAUUGAGAUCCGUCAAAGGCAAUCUCAUUAAAUUAUGAGGCAUCAAGUUGCCUCUAAUUAGAUCUAACAAAAUUUUCUUUCUCUGCCUCACCAAAAAUCACUAUAUGUUAAUUCACUCACCUCAUUUGAUAUUUUAUUUUCCCAACAGCUUUAUAAUUAUGGUAAUGCUGAGAAAAUAAAAGAAAAUGACAGCCAGAAAACAACAAAACUUGGCAUAAGAAAUUUCAGCAUUGCCUUCAAUUAGUAUAUGAUGGUUUAAAUACAUUUGUAGAAAAUGGAAAACUUGUCACAUGAAAUUGCUACAGCAUAUUCACAAACCAUUUAAUGCAUCAAGGCUUUGAUUAUAGACUUCUCUAUUCCAUCCGGCAUCCACGGUUUUAUCUACCAUGGGAAUAUGCUCAUCACACUGUGGAAAGCCAGCAGAAAACCUGUCUGCUUUCACAAUCUUUACCUGUAAGAGGAGAAAGAAAAAGCAUAAAUGUUGUUAUCAUGUUCUUACAAUCACAGUGAGACUUCGUCUCAUAAUAUACUGUUGUACAGCCACUGCUGAUCAUUUGGUCAGAUAGUUGCACACUUGCACAUACAAACUUGGCCAAGAUUCUUAGCACAUAUAUGAGGGGAUCAAAACUUAUAUAUAAAACUAUUCUUCCAUUAGGCUUCACUUGAAGCAGCCCAUAAUCUAAAGAUGCAACAUUGUGGAUAAACAAAUGCCAAUCUGCACAUGUGGAGCAUAUGCGCCUCACAAUCUCGUACCAAAGAGGGUCAUGUCAGGCUGCUUUGGGCUGAACUGCACUUCUGCCCUGAGACGUAGCCAGACGCAAACCACCAGAUGGGCGGCCUCCACCGCAGGCUCCAGGUCGAACUAGCUGUGGACUACGCCGACUGAGUCCAGUUGCAUGCAGCUGGUCUGAUCGAGUCCAGUUGGUAGUCUGACUCAGGUUAGACCCAACCCAACCAACACUUAAACCCCCAAUUCAAAUCAGUUUCGACCCCCCUUUUUUCCAAAUAAAAGUUAAAAUAACUGGUAAUUGAAAGUAUUUAAACUUAAACAUGAAAUUCUCAUGAACAUAUCACAUCAAGUAACUAAUUCAAGCAAAUCAAUUAUCAUGUCACAAUAAUUAAAUUACUUUAAAAAAUUAUCAUGGCAUAAAUUCAUGAUGCAUAAUAAAUCAUUUAAGAUCGCAUGUCACCAUAAUUAAAAUAACUAAAAUGAAUAAUGGCAUAAUUUCAUGAAAUAAAAUAAGAUGAUUUAAUCAACCCGAUCAUCAACUUACAAUUACUAAAUUAAUUCAAGAAAUCAUUAUCAUGGCAUAAUCUCAUAAAAUCCAAAAAAAUGAUUACUAAACUAAAUAAGCAAUAAGAACUUAUACUAUCCAUUGUUUUUUUAAAAUAGUAAAUAAAUAAUAAUAAUUCAAAGAAAGGUGGAGGACCUACCUUUUUAAAGAUGGAGGUCCCUCUCCCACAAAUUGCUGUCAGGCUCCUCAUGAACCCUAGUGAAGAACAUAGGAGUCUGACCAGCUUUAUAUAGGAGAGGAGAUUCCUCUUGUGGAAAGAAAAGAAAAUUGAUUUUUCAGAUUAAUUAAUUUAUUUAUUUGUUAAAUUCCUAACUUGCCCAAACUGUUAAAGAAAUUGAUUUAAUUAUUUUCUUAAUCAUAUUAUACAAAGAAGGAAAUGCUUAUUCCAAAUAAAGCAAAACACUAAUUACAGAAAUUUUAAUUUUGGAAAGAGGAGAAAAAACUUGGUGAUUACAAUCAGUAAUUCCACAACAGCUAGAAUUAAGACUUCACCUUGUUAUUAAACUGAUGAAAGAGGAAGAUAUAAGGCCAACUACAGCUAAAACAAAUACAAAUAUACCUCUUCAUGUACGGGGGUCAAAUGAGGAUAUGAUAGAUAACUCCUUGCUGCCUUUGGAGAAGCACCAUCUUCAGCUUCUGAGCCAGACUCAGCAGUAGAUGUAUCACUACUCUUUAUCUGGCUCACAAGAUUAAAUGACUAAGCCUUCUAAGAACAUAAAAGAUUAUGUCUCAAGAAACGAAUCAUAUAGAGAGGUCUUACUGCUGUAUAUUGUGGCUUGGCAUGAGCAAUAACUUUUCCCUCACCAUUAGAAACAGUAACAACUUGCCGAGCACACUGUGCUUCGCCACCAAGAACCAUCUUUAUACCACCAACAACCAUAUAAUCAUAACAAGCAAAAAGAGAAAUUACAGAAACAGGUAAAAGAGAAAAGAGAUCACAAUCAGAACCUUUAGUAUGUUUGGAUCCAUCCAUGAACCCUUUUCAGAUUUAAGGCAUCCACCCAGAUCAGAACAUAUACAAGAACCACCAAGGAACUCUGGCAACUCGCUGGAGAGACCCCAGAAUGUAUGCCCCAAAAAGGUGAGACUCUUAUGACCAAAUCCCACAAGAAGCAAGAGGCAAAGAACAUACCUAAGUUCAAUUACUUCCAACAGCUUACUUUGGUAUUUGCUUCCAAGAACCUGAAAGAAGUUCGGAUAAAAAUUUUGAAUAAGAUCUUAUUGAAUCUCAUAAAGAAAUGCUUUAUAACACAGAGGAAAUUGCUUACAUAAAUUUUUGAAGUAGUCUUUGGAUCAAGAAAGGAUUUUACUGUGUUCCAUAGCAACCUAAAACCGGGGCCAGCAUUGAUGAUAAACAUCCGGAAUAGUGUCUGCAAAAACAUCAUUUACCAUAGAGGGGCAACAUCAAUCAGGUGAA
rnacentral:lncRNA from 1 species